rnacentral:lncRNA from 1 species
UUCUUCAGCAAACACAUAGAUAGAUAAGUCGAAAUCUUCUAUGGUAAAUAAGACUGUCACAAUGUGAAGCCAAUUUGUAUCCCGUUGCCAAUGGAACAGGAGGAAUUAUUUCCCACCAAUCUAAAACAUAUUCGCAGCACCAACCUUGAAAUCAUGUAAGAGCUAACCACCAUUCAACAUGAGAUUGUUCUGCUAGGAAAACAUGAUAUCAAACUUUUGAACAAAUAGUACACCAUCAAGUCCAAAUAUAUUCACAGCUCAAAGACAUGAGUCUCCAUCUUCUUUCCACCCCAUAUUUCUGGUCCACUCUCUAUUAAUGCUUGAAUCUUCAGCUACUUCAGGUACCUGUAAACCAAUUCAAGCAUGGCAUGCUCAUUUAACUUGUAAAUCUUAUUAUUGAGAGAAACAAGAAACAAACACACUAAAAGAGAGGCAAGAAAUCAAGUCAAAUCAGCAGCACCUCUGAUUGAGCAUUCAUUGAACCAUCUGGUGUAGUAGCAAAUUUUGUGGUCAGCUUUGGACAUUGAUGGACCUUCAACUUCUCCAAACGAGGGAAUAAGAAAUAAUCACACCAUCUGAAACUAAAACAGACAAUACUUGAUAAUUGUUCUAGCGACAACUCCUUUAGAUUAGGAAGCACUAUCUCCUUCUCAACGUUGAUAGGUGAAGCUUGACCAUCCUGCCCAGGAGACUCUGGAAUUAUUUCCCUUUCACCAUCCUCUUCUCUGAUAAUAUGCUUCAAUUGACCGCAUUUACUUAUGUAAAGUCUUUGUAGCUUUGGCAGACUUCGAGCGAGGGACGGUGUGAAGAUAAAUGUCAGUUUGUUGAGAGACUCCAAAUUCAGACGAUUAAGACUUUGGAGGCUGACAUGUCUAGAUGGCCCCUUCCAUAUACANNNNNNNNNNNNNNNNNNNNNNNNNNNNNNNNNNNNNNNNNNNNNNNNNNNNNNNNNNNNNNNNNNNNNNNNNNNNNNNNNNNNNNNNNNNNNNNNNNNNAAUACCUCUUCCAAUGAUUUACAGCUGUCAACAAUCACCUCCUUUAGAUUGUUCAAAGCUCGGAGCAAUUUUGCUGGAAACGGAGUGCGAACAUCCCCACAAUCGUCUACUCGUACAAAUUUUAAUCUUUGUAAGAAGCCGUUUUGCUGCCCAUGGACGGCCAUCUUAUCAGAGAACAAUAUUAUAUUUUUUCACUCUCAUAAAAACAAUUUAUAUGAUGUAUAAAUAGGAGAAAAAAAUAGAAAAAACAGGAUUAAAUACUUUUUUUUUGUCUUAAUUAGAGAUAAGUUGAAUAAUAAUUAGAUUUUUGCGAAAAAAGGUUAAUACAACUCCUAAUAAUUAGUUUCAUGUAAAAAAUAAAAAUAAAAAUAGUAGCUAAAAUUUUUAUUUUAGUUAUAAAGUUAAUAAAUUUUUAAAGAUAUUUUAAUUGAAUUAAAUAUUUGAACACAAAAGUUAUAUAUUAAAUCUAACAGAUAUUAUGAUUUCUAUGAUUAAUUUUUGGUAUUAAUAACGCAAACAACAAUGAGGCAGUUAAUUUUCUUAUAUUUAUAUAUGUUUAGAUAAAAAAACAAAUCAUAAAAAAAAAAAAUAAGCUACUAUGUUUGUUAUAUAAUUAAAAAAAAAAUUCAAACUUGGAUUUCCUAGCAUUUAUCAAUUACUUUACUUUUAGAAAUUGGGAGGAAGAAAGAAUAAAUUAUCGCAAUUGACAAUUUAAAUUAGUGGAGAAAUAUAAAUUACGUACUUGUAGCUGUGCCAACCAAUUACCCACUUCUUCGUGGCCUUCAAUGGUUAAGUCUAUGAUGCCAUCUCUGUUAUGAGACAAAGAGACUGGGAAGACAUAUUCCAGUUUACCACAGUGAGAUAUGCGGAGAGUUUUUAAUUUUGGGAAGCGAGGAGACUCUGGAAUUAUUUCCCUUUCACCAUCCUCUUCUCUGAUAAUAUGCUUCAAUUCACCACAAUCACUUACCUGAAGUCUUUUUAGCUGUGGUAGACUUUGAAGAGUUAGAGACACGGAGACAGGGAAGACAUAUUCCAGUUUACCACAGCCUUCUAUGAUGAUAGUUUUUAAUUUUGGGAAGCAAGGAGACUCUGGAAUUAUUUCCCUUUCACCAUCCUCUUCUCUGAUAAUAUGCUUCAAUUCACCGGAUUCACUUAUGCAAAGGGUUUCUAGCUUUGGCAGACUUUGAGCAAGGGACGGUGUGAAGAUAAAUGUCAUUUUGUCGAGAGAAUCCAAAUGCAGAUGAGCAAGACUGUGGAGGCUGACAUGUCUGGUGGGCCCCUUCCAUAUGCAUUUGAGCUCAGGUAACCGGUACAGCUUUAACUCUGUUAAAGAUGACAGCAACGGCAGCUCCUUCUCCUCACCCAAUUCAAAUACCUCUUCCACUGAUUUGCAGUCCUCAAUUUCCACCCUCCUUAGAUUUUUUAAACCUUGCUGCAAUCUUGCUGGAAACAGAGUGAAAACAUCCCCACAAUCCCUCACUUCUACAAAUUCUAAUUUAUGUAAAAACAAUUGCUCAAAUGUCUUCGCAUUUAAGGAUGUACCACCCAAAAUUAAUCUUGUGGAGGUUGGGUAUCCAUUAGAAUAAUAUUUAGUAGUAUUCCCUAACAUUAAAUCAUAUUUGAGCAAGCUGGGAAAAACAAAAUCUCUGGGAAUGCAUUCAACCUUCGGUAUCCUCAAUGAUAAUACGGCUAACUGAGACAACGAAUUUAGUUCUGUUAGGCUUGCAUUCAUUCCUCCUGUGCUGUCACAUCCAACAUCAUCCCAUCCCUUAAAGCUGUCUUUCCCGAUCAACAAUUCUUCUAACUUCUUCAACCUUCAAAUCAAAUUCACAGGGAUCCUUCUUAGACUUCGACAACCUGUCACAUCCAACAACCUUAACUCCUUGAGCUCUCCUAUUUCAUCAGGUAAUUCUUCAAUGGAUAAGCACAUUAUAAAAACAAGAAUCUUAAGUCUCUGCAGCUUUCUCAACCAAAUGAGGUCCUUGCAUCCACACCUGAUCAACACCAACGAUUGAAGUUUCGUUAAGAGUUCAAGUGAUUGCAAUGACAAACACUCUCCCUCCAGAGACAAAACUUCAAUUUCUUUCAUCCCUUCAAAAAACCUCUGAGGAACAUUCAUACCAUCAUCCAGUUCUAAUAAUAGAACUUUGAGCCGUGGACAUACCAAUCCUUCAGGAAGUUCGGUUAGUUUAUUGCCCAUUAACGAAAUUGUUGUACAAGCUUCAAAGCUUUUGAUACUCAUUGGCCAUUCCUUCAACCCAAUGCCAGCCUUUACCAUGAAUCCAUAUUCUUCUGAUGAUGCUAUCUGAAUAGCAAAGUCACGAACCAAGUCAUGCAUUCUCACAUGUUCUUCAGUUUCAGUGCCCAACAGCAUGCAACAAUCUUUGAGGUUUUCGAUUGCCACGGAAACUCGUUUCCUUGCAUCUUCAAUGGGCUCCGUAUCUUGAUGUAACCCACAGCCAACUGCAUAUCUCGUCAAGUCCUCGAUUGGAAUGUCAUAAUCUUCUGGAAAUAAACAGCAUAGCACGAAACAUGACUUGGUUUCCUCGUACUUCAAAUAAUCAUAGCUCAACUUAAGACAUGUGUAAGCAUUAUUUUGUUCGUCAAUUUGUUCCAUGCGCACAAAUUGAGAUUCUUUGAGCUGUUUAGACGCUACUUCCCACUGAACUCGUGAUUUACCUCUUAGAGCCCUUCCCACUGUCACAAGUGCUAUAGGCAAGCCUUGGCAUUCUCUCGCAACCUCCCUUGCCACUGUGUUCAAGGUAGAGUCCCCAUCACGUAAACCUGCAUUGAUUCUGAAUAAAUCCCAUGCUUCAUCUUCAGGUAAGACUCUUAAAAGCACUUUUUGCUGGCACUCCAUAGAAAAACAUAUGCCUUGAACACGAGUUGUUAGAAGAAUUUUACAACCCCUGUGAUCAUCACCAAAUGGGAUCCCUAUCUCUUUCAAGUCAAUAUGUUUCCAAACAUCAUCUAGGAUUAUAAGCAUCUUCUUUCCCUGCAGUCUCUGCCAUAAUUCACUUGCUCUACCUUCUUUACUCGUUUUUUCAAAUUUCAGAUGUAAACUAUCUGCCAUUCGAUCCUGGAUGCCUAUGACAUUUGGAUUCUGGGACACCGUAGCCAUCAAAACUUCAGGAAAAAGCUGCGACUCUUUGGCUCUCCUGCCUACUUCUUUCACCAGGGUUGUUUUACCCACCCCUCCCAUGCCGUACAGUCCGAUCAUAUUGACGUUGUCAUCUUUGAGAGCUUUCAUGAUCUGUUCCAAAGCUUCUUUUGACGAUUCUGAGGGUGUGAAUUCCUUUGAUGUUAGAAAUUCUAUGGGCUGAGGAGGAGCUUUUUGGGCCACUGUUUUAAACUUUUCGCUACUUUCUCCAAGUUUUCUGAAAGUCUUCGACUUCUUGGCCAGUGCCUUGCUUAACUUGAAUUGUCGCAUNNNNNNNNNNNNNNNNNNNNNNNNNNNNNNNNNNNNNNNNNNNNNNNNNNNNNNNNNNNNNNNNNNNNNNNNNNNNNNNNNNNNNNNNNNNNNNNNNNNNNNNNNNNNNNNNNNNNNNNNNNNNNNNNNNNNNNNNNNNNNNNNNNNNNNNNNNNNNNNNNNNNNNUUUGCCGAAACCAGGUUCUCCUUUCGUUCUUUGAAUUCUUCAACAAAAUUGUAGAAACAGAACAUGCAACGGAACAGCCUUCCUACUGGUUCCACCAUGAGUUCUGCUAGCAUAGCUAUAAUGGAUCCACCAGCACUUUCGAGAGCCAUUUUCCACAGGUCUGAAAAUCAAAGAAAUAAGGAUACAGAACGUGAGAGUGAGUCACUACAAGUAAAAGAGGCUUAAAGAGAAUGGGAAUAGGAAUUUCAUUACCUUAAUUUGGGAAAAUAUGUGCGAAAAGCACUGGUAUUGAGUGUUCAAUGAAAUAGCGGGAGGAAGAAGAGGAGAAGGCCUUUAGCUCUGUAUGGAAUCCAGCUUCAAAAGCAACAAGGCAAGGUACAAGUAUAACAAUAAAAUAGUUUACAUGGAUUCUAACGGACUCUUGUGAGUUAAAGCAUUAGUUCCCUUUAAAAAUGCAUUUUGAUGACAUAAUUAAGAUAAUAUAGAGACAGUGACAAACAAAUAAAAAAAUGUGUAAAAGAACUCACCUAGCAAAGAAAGAAACGAAUGAAAGGUUCAGGAUAAUCACUUAGACGCCUCCAUGGAUGAUACCAGCUCGCUUCCAACAACAAAUAUAAUUAACCUAAGCUAUGAUCGGUCAAAGUUUUUUUUAGUUUUCUUUUUUUUUUUAAAAAAAAAAAGAUCAACAAGAGAAAAUUAAGACUUGCAGGAACGAACUCAACAAAGAAUGAAACUAAAAGAACCAUGUUUUUUAUGAUGAUCAUCUCCGUGUCACCCACUUGGGUAAUAUGAUUGACCCGAGUGUGUGACAUCCAGAGUGCGGUUACUUUUUUCAUCCCUCUUUUUUGGUUUUAUUUUAUUUCAGUUCUUCAAGUCUUUUUCUUUUGCUAUUUCAUCGAGUUGCUUUGCUCUUGAGUUGUUGUGCUUGCCCUCAAGUAUGCAUUAUGCUAGGAAUUAUAAUUACAUAUUAUAAUUACAAAUUUCAGUUUUUUAAAAAACAAAAAAAAUAUGAGAAAGGACCAAUAUUACAAUGUGAGCAAAUGAAAGGAGAAUUUUAAAUUUUCUUGUGACAUGGUGACCAAGUAAUCCAAGGAACCAAUAGAUUAUCGCCACUUGUUCAACCUUAUCUGCACAUUAAGAUAGGGGUAGAAAGUAGGAAAGAAAAAUCAUAAUCCUAGAUUUUAUUGUGACAUGGAGAUAAAGGUAAUCUCAAAAGCUAAUAGAUGGUCCUUUAUCUACCCUUAGGAAAAGAUAGAAAGUAGGAGAGAAAAGUCAUAAUCUUAGAUUUUAUUGUGAUAUGGAGAGUUUCUCUCAACUCAUUUUUAGACCUCAACUGAUGAAGAUGGUGUGUAUUUUUUUUUAAAUCAAGUGCAUGUGUUUGUUGAAAAAUUGAUAAAAAUAAAGGAGAAAGAAAUAUUUUUUUCGAACCCUGUUUGAGGUGUUUUCUACUCUUUAUAUCCUCCUCCUUUGAUGCCAAAAGCAUCAGGUUUCUUAGGCUAAUAAGGAGUCUUCAUAUAAAUCCCUCAUAAUUUGCAUUUGUUUUUUUAAAAAACUGAUUAUGCUGCUGUCGUAAUUUUUUAUUCCAACUUAGGCUCUAAUUCUGACUUGGUUUCGUAUGAUAUUUGACCAUCCUACCUAUUUUUAUCACUCAUGACAUGUUGAAGAAUUGACCUAUACCUUUAUUGGGUCCUAGGGGUCAUUGUUCUUAGGGUAGACUCUCAGUCAGAUUUGGAUGCUUGGCAUUGUCAGAUCAAGAAAACCUUUUUGACCAACCAGAUUCCUGUCAGAUUCUGUUAUCUAAAACGAUUUUAUCUCACUUCAAAUCCUUCAUCAAAGUUGUAGUCUGGGACAAGUAGAUGAAUUUGAGCUUUUGAAUUGCUUGAUUUGAAGAUAUUCCUGUUUGAAAUCUAGCAUGAAAGCAUAAAAUCCUGCCGCGAGAAGGUUUCCAGUCGAGUUUGGUUGCAAUUCUGUUAUUCAAAAGGAAUUUAUCUCAUUUUUAUCUUUCAUGAAAGUUGUAGCUCUACAAGUGUAGAUGAAUUUGGGACUUUUCAAUCGCUUGAUUUUGAUAUCAAAAGCUCAUAAUAUUCUCGUUUGAAUAUCUAACGUGAAAGCAGAGAAUUCUGUCGCGAGAAGGAUCUUGACCCGAGUUUUGCACUAAAGACUCUAUUUCCAUCACAAAAAUUAUUGAUUUGUUCUUAGGUCAUACUCUCAGUCAUAUCGCGAUGCUCGACGUUGUCAGUUUCUGAAUUAGAUCAGGAGACCCUUUUUGACCAACCAGAUUACUGCCAGAUUCUGUUCUCUAAAACAAUUUUAUCUCACUUCGAAUCCUUCAUCAAAGUUGUAGUCCUGGACGUGUAGAUGAAUUUGGGCUUUUGAAUCGCUUCAUUUCAAUAUCAAAAGCUCAAGAUAUUCUCAUUUGAAUAUCUAAUGUGAAAGUAGAGAAUCCUGCCGCGAAAAGGGUUUAUCCCAAGUUCGCAGGUCUUAUUUGAAGGAUUUUUUUGGACCAAGGACUAAAUUGAAAAGUGCUAAAAUGAGGGAUUUAAUUGAAGAAGGAUAUUGGAAGCUGGAGAGGGGGGCUGGAUCAUCAUAAAUGACGGGAUUUCUACCACACCGAAUAAGGAAAAUAAGACUUUGCAGCAUGCACCGUUACCCAUCUGAUUUCUUUUCUUUUUCUUUGCAAAUUUCUUGCUGGUUUCCACGUUUCUCUUGCUGGAUUGGAGAGCUCCAGGCCAUGUUUUUAUUGCCUCAUUUCAAAGGAAACAGCUGGUGUCUCAUGAUCCCAGAUUUGGAAGGAAAGAAAGGAGUCGCACUAUCCUCUAAAAUACUGGAAAGAAAUCAGAUAUGAUCACAGAAUCAGAAUCAAAAUAUUUUGGUUUCCUAUUUCUACUCACCCGAGAUUACACCCUAGAGUUAAUGUAAUAUUUGUUUUCUAAAUAGAGCUGCGUUUUAGGUUAUAAGCCUCCUCUACUGGGAGAAGAAAGGGAUGAAAAAAAAGAAGGGAAGCAGGACAGAAAAGAGGGAGAACAGGAGAGGAGAAAAGGGGCCAAAUCUAAACCCUCUCUAGAGGAGCGCCACCCCCCCCCCCCACUGGCUUCUGUUUUGGCUCCCAGAACAGGCCACAACGCAGAAAAGGGGGGGGGGAGGCCUUUUCUUUCAUCCUUUGGUUACUGUGAAGACUUUACUGAACGGGGAAAGAAAAGAAAAGGAAAGGAGGAGCAGAGGAAAAAACAAGAAAAGAAAGACAAGAAAAAACAUAAGAGAGGCAGGGAGUAGGAGAGAAAAAAACAGAGAACGAGGGAGUUUCUUUCCUUCAUCCUUGCGUUGUUGGGAGAUCAGGAAGGCAAGCAGUAUAAGAGAAGAAGGAGAAGAAAAAGCAAGAAAAACGAGAAAAGAAAGAGAAACCAUAAACAAGCAGAGACUGCCUUUUCGGUCUUGCUUUCAUUUUUCUGCAUAUAACAUCUGCAGAACAGGGAAGGAGAAAGUGCAGGAACCAGGGAGAGAGGGUGACGAAGACGCAGAGAAAAGAAAAAAUCAGAAAACAGACGCAAAUAUAGAACAAGAGGAAAAGGUUUGAAACAGAUGAAACAGACCGAUCAACCAUCACGCUUUCAACGUCAAGGCAGCUUCUUCGCUUCCGUUCCUAGGUCUGUUCUCUUCACCUCUCGCACCAUGCAUUUUUUUGCUUUGUGUUUGCAUUGUUCAAGUGAAUUUUAACUCACUUGAAUAGUAACGUGGUCUCUUUGCAUGCAUUUUACUUUGUUCAUUGAGAGGAUUGCGCCCUUUUUUUUGUGUCCAGCCGGGUCACUUGCAGCCAGACCUACUAUUUUUUUCUUUUAAAAAAAUAAAAGAAAGAGAAAGAGAUUUAUGAUUUUCUGGCAUAUUUAUUUAAGGUCUGAAUUUUUUUUAUGUUGUAAAAAAUAUCAAUCUCGUAUUUAGAAUACCCGGUUUUCGACGCAAUGUGACAAAUAUACAUAUAUAUCAAAAAUGUUUUCUUGUGUGUUGCAUACGGCCAAUACCCUAACAUGUUUUGAACGUUCUUUUUUAUACAAAAAAUAUUGGAAGUUUCAAAAAUGUGUCGCAUGGAUUUCUUAAACACAACAAAAAUUAUUUUCUUGCAUUUCUGGAUUUUACAACAUGUUUGUAAAACUCCAAAGGGUAUUGGCCAAUAUUCCAAAAAAAUAAAAAAUCUUAUUUUGGAGGGAAUUAAUCUAUUGUUCACCAUUAAUGUUUGGAUAAAGAAAUCUCAAAGGGAUGAAUAUCCAAAAUAUUAUUGGAAAUAACUUGUUAUUAUUCACUGUUAAUAUUUGGAUAAAGAAAUCUUAAGUGGAAAAUAUCCAAAAUAAUUUUCUAGAAAGAAUAAGUCAUCACACAUCCUUGAAAAAAGCCUUGAUUAUAAUCGAGGACAUUUUAAUUUUUUACUCCACGGUUUAUGAGCCGUGAGAGUUUAAAACACUAAGGCAAAAAUAAGCUUUUAAAGCGCCCUAAAUUUCUAAAUUUUUGUCCCUCCUCCUUGCGAUUUACGAGUUGCAAACUCUUAAAAUACUAAGGGAAAAUGAGCUUUUAAAGCACAUGGAAUCUCCUUGGAUUUCUAUCUUAAUAAAUUUAGUUGAAUCAAACCUAGAAAAACUGAUGGGAUUAGAAAAACACCAACACCAUAGCAAUUAUAAAGCAAACCAAACACCAAGCAGCUUACCUUAGGUAGGGCGUACUAGGGGUGUUAAUACCUUCCCUUUACGCAACCAGUCUCUUGCCUUAGAAUCUCUAAAAGACCAGUUAGGGUUCCUAGUGACUAAAAUAUUAGGUGGCGACUCUUUUUUCCACACAAAAAAAACCGAAAUCAAUCAAGGGUCGUCGCAAUGGUGUGACAAACAUCAUCAUUACCCAUCAACAUAACUCCUCCAUCGAACUCUUUAAGUCUUGAGAACAAGUGUUUGUUGUGGCACAUGUGAUAGGAAAAUCUAAAAUUAAAAACCCAUUCACUGGAAUGGUUUUAUGGUGAUGAGACCAUGAAUGAAGAGUCUUGUUCAUCUUCAUCUCAUGCAAUAUUCAUAGUUGGUUCAUCCUUUUUUGUUGUCCUUGUUGCUUUUAUUUGGACAAUCUUUCUUCUAGUGUCCUUCUAUCUUAAAUAAAUAGCAGACAUGCUUGGGUCCUCUUUUUUUUCCCUUUGUGAGUGUACAACGCACAGUGGUAGGCAACCUAUAUUUCUUUUAUUAUUAAGCAAACAAUAAUUCACCUAAUGGUUGGAUCAUCUAAAACUUGCUAUUAUAACGAUAGCUGGAAAAAUAUAGGGUUGGUAUAAUAAUUUAAUUUUUAAUUCAUUGACAUCUAAAAAUACUAUAAAUUUUUUUUAUAAACCACUUACCAGCUCCAAAACAUCCUUAAACCAUUCAAAAGACAAAAAAAAAAAAAACUAAAUCAAAAAAAUCUAAAAGAACUUGAAUCUAUUUUUUUCAGGUAAGAUGAAUGACAGAGAACACUUAAAUGUAACUUUUCUCCUCGAAAGAAACCCGUUUAUACAAAGAAUGAUUUUUUCAUGGUCAUAAUCUUGGCAAUCAAAAACUUUUUUAUUUUAUCAUCAUUUUUCAAUGUUUCUCUUUCUCUCAUCUCUCAAACCAGAGAUCAAGAUUAACAUCCAAUCCCCAAAUUAGAAGGGAUCAAAAUGUAACUUUGACAAAACCAAAACAUAAAAUUUAACAAAAAAACCUAGACUCUUUUAUUCUUCUUCCAUUUGGUUUCUUAACUUUUAAUUUUGUAAAAAUAAUAAAAUCACAUAAAUUUCAAUAAAAUUAAAAAUCAAUUUAAUGACAAGAAGUUUUGUCAAGAAUAUAAUAGUCUCGUGAAAAAGCAAGAAAGAACAAAUUAUAAAGAUUGAUUCCAAUGAACACAAUGUGAAACAAUUAAAUAAAACAUUGAAGAGCAUUCAAAAAGAAAACAUUGUUUAGCCCAAUUCACAAAUUCCACUAAAGAUUCCACCUUUCUCACCUUUGAUUUCUGUGUCGCCGGUCUCCGUCUUAUUUGGUUUUGGUAUCUGUCAUUGUUUUUUUUUUUUUUUUUUUUUUGGGGGGGGGGGGGGGGGGGGGGGGGAAAAAAAUUUUUAGCGGGGGAAAAAGAAAAAUAUUUGCCGCCUAUUACUUUGUAAUAAAUAAAUUAAUUCUCAAAAAAUAGUAAAUUAAACUUGCCUUCAAUUAGGAUUUGUGUUCUUCAAUUUUGAACCUUUUCUUUUAAUCCCACAAGUAGUAUUUUGCUAUUUAGUUUACUACUACAUUAUAUUUAUAUUUAGUUUCAAGUUUUUCUUAAAAAAAUCUUAAUAUAUUUUUGUGUUCUUUUCUAUAUUCUACUUUUUACAACUUUUUCUUUAAAAAAACAUUAUUUUCUACUUUUUUAAGUUUUUCUUUAAAAAAUAAUAUUUUUUUAUCAAAUCUUAAACAAUUCAUUCAUAUUUGAAUUCAUAUAUUUAUAAGAAUUUAAUUUUUGUAAUUGAUUUUUAAAUCUCAUUCCAAAUUUAUAGUGUAAAGAUUAAACUGAAUUGGUUAGGUUGAUAAACUAGCACGAAAUCCAGAAAUGGAUAAUGCUCGUAAGCCCAACACAAAGCAAUACCCAAUGGAGUCCAGCUAAAGAAGUAGAAAGGGCCGAAGGGAAUCUUUUUAUUAGGAAGCUGCUACAUUUUCAAACAAGAAGUAGAACCCUUCGGUUAUAGUCGUCAAGAAACAGAAUAACAACAAUGGACGAAGUUCAAGAAAGAGAGAAAAAAGACGAAUUCGAUGCAUCAGAGAUUGAAUACGUUAGCUAUGGUGGUGAGCAUCACCUACCAUUAAUCAUGAAUCUUGUCGAUCAAGAACUUAGUGAGCCUUACUCCAUCUUCACCUACCGUUACUUUGUUUAUCUUUGGCCACAACUUUCUUUCUUGGUAAGUGUGAUUCUUUUCUUCUUUUAUGUUGUUGGGAUUUUUUUUUUGGUGUUGUAACUGUGUUUUUGUUGGUGGGUUUUCAAUUUCAGGCCUUUCACAAAGGCAAAUGUGUAGGGACUGUUGUAUGUAAGAUGGGGGAUCAUCGGAAUUCAACUUUUAGAGGUUACAUUGCUAUGUUAGUUGUCAUCAAACCUUAUCGAGGAAGAGGCAUUGGUAAUGGCUUCUUCUUUUUUUCAUAUUGGGAUUUUGUGCACAGUUUUAGGUUGUGUUGGAUUAUAUAUGUGAAUCCUGGAUUGGUUUUUAAUGUACUAUAGAUCUAUUGGAAACAAGAAAGGAAAGGGGGUGAGGGUUUUCAAGAAAUUGGACGUGCAUUGAUAACAUUAAUGGUAGAAAUAUGGAUGUUUGGAAUGAUUAUGUGUAUAAUAAACUGGCUGCAUUUGAUUUGAACUCAAGGUCCAUUCUUUGUUUUCCUACACUUGGGAUGGCAUUUACAAAGGAUUGGAUGUGGGCUUUGAUAGUUUUUAGGCUUUGUGUUGAUAUAUCAUGUUUUUCUUGUUAAUUGUGUUGUGUAUGGGUACGUUGUAAUUUCCAGUGAAAUUCUCUCCAGACUGCAGCUACUGAACUUGUUACCAGAUCUAUUCAAGUGAUGAUGGAAUCGGGAUGUGAAGAGGUUUGUCGAGUUUUAGUUGUUGUACCUUUUGGUUUGUACUCAUCUAAAUGGAGCAUUAUUCAUACAACUAUAUCACAAAGGAAGUACGGAUUUUUUAUCCUCAAGCUUUAGUUGUACUUUCCAUGGUACCAAAUGAGCAUAUAGGAGAGUAGAAAUAACUACAUUUCCUAAGCAUUACCACCAAACGUUGGAGCUCUGUUUGGGGCUUGAAACAGCAUGGGAAACAAAGGAGAAUUAUGAAACUGCUUAAGUGGUUACCUUCACUGCCAAUUAUAGGAGAGUUGAAAUAGUUUUCCUUUCUACUCCAUUGUGCUCUUUGAUCUCAAACCAAAGAGAAAAAUAAGCUUUCCUCUCGAGUUUGACUGGCACCUUGGCAUGUGUGUAAAUGGUGAUGCCGUAUCUUUUAUUCACACCUCCAAAAACCUUUUCUUCUGAAAUUUCUUGGUGUUUGUGCAUUACUCUGUAGUAACACCAUGUCUCUUAGACACUUCAUGCUUCAUGUGUUAUUUCAAUUCUAUCUCUCCUCUUAGUUACCUCAUGCUGCAUGUGUUAUUUCAAUUCCAUCUCUCCUCUUGCUUUAAUCUUUAUUAGGGUUAAGUGAGCCAGUCCUUGGAGGUAUCCCUGCACAUGGAUAGUAGUCCAUGCAAACAAUGAAUUAUGUUGUUAAUGUGCUGCCAGUUUAUGCUCCCUGCUAGAAGUCCAAAAUAUUACAUGUCAUGUGUGAUGAUUUUGACUUGCAUUGACUGAUUGCACCUACGUGACCAAUUUAGGACUUGCAGCUGAUAUAUUGAUAUGGUUAAAUUGAACUGUCCCAGAAAUUUUCAUUUCAUUAUCUCGAGGUUGAAAUUGUGAGAAAAAAAAAUUAAAAGAAUGAUUCCAUGGAAAAAAAAAAAAAAAAAAACGAGAUCAAUGGAAAUUUACUGCUGAGAAAGGAAUAUGGUUUCAUUCAAUGUAAACGCAACUCCAUGCUUUGCUGCAGUAUCAUAGUUCUGAACGAACUUAAAUAUUGUCCCAAGAAGCCAAUAAUUUGUGAGGCCUUGGCUUUGCUGAUAUUCCUUGUGUUUUUGAAUGAUGCGUUAAUUCUAUUUCUAGUUAUUUCACCUUGAUGCAUGAAUUUGCUCUCAUUUCUCAUAUCAGGCAAAGAACAUAGAAUGAAAAGGUGGGAGAGAAUAUAGAAUCCGAAUAAACUGCUAUGACUUUAAUGUAGGAUAUCAGAACAGCUCAAAUGAACUGCAUGAUUAUUUGACUGUUUUUCCACCUUAACUGGUGAUAAGUGGUCCACUCUGGAACACAAGCAUGCCACAUUAAAGAAUAUGGUCCAUUAAAUAACUAACUACAUUCCCCCCUAUUUGCUUAUGAUUUAGCAUAUCCCAACUUUAUAUUUAUGUAUUCAAGCAUAUCACUUUCUUAACUACAUUGUUGUUGAUCUUUUAUUGUGUUGUGUUUUUCUCUUUCCUCUUCGAAGGUAACAUUGGAAGCAGAAGUUACAAAUAAAGGAGCACUUGCACUAUAUGGCCGUCUUGGUUUUAUUAGAGCAAAACGACUCUUUCACUAUUACUUGAAUGGAGUUGAUGCCUUUCGUCUGAAGCUGCUAUUCCCCCAACCAGAGUUAUACCCCUCUUUGCCUAUGAUGGCUGAUAGAGACGAUACACACGAGCAUGAUGAUUGCUAGCCAAUGGAUGAGCUUUCUGAGCUCCGAGCUCCACAGAGGCUUGGAACUAGUGGGCUUUCUACCAUUCAUUACACAGUCUCUGCGAGCUACAAGGAUGGUUUGAUAUUUGAUCUUUAGAGAGGCAGCACAGCCUCGUAACCUACACAGGGAUUCGCACAAAUGUGGGUUCUUGGUCAUGUCAUCUUUGUUCACUGAAGUCGAUGUACAUGUUUUAUUGGCCUUGUCUAAUAGAAAUGUAUCAACAUACGAGGCCGAAGCUCACAUACUGUAAUACUUGCACAUUAUAGAUGUGGCAGCUAUGACGAAAACAGCCAAUCUCUCUCUGUUCACUCUCAAAAUAUUUGAUUGAGGCGAAGAUCAAGUCUAAAAGACCAAAAAUGCUUCAGCAAUGGUUUGGUACAAAGGGUAUGAUGGUGACUUGAGACAAUAGUGGGUUACUUACCAUAACAGCCAAUGAAACACAGUCAAACCAAGAAAAUCCCAAAUGUUAAAAUAAUAUCCAUGCGUCUCUCUCUAAUGGCUGCAGGAUAUAUAACAUUUGAUUUGCGUUGUAUGGUAGGUGGGUUGCUCAAUUGAGUCAGCUGCAUGCCUAUUCUAGUCAAAAGGCUUAAGAAAGUAGCAAUACUAUUUUAAAAGUGUUUUGUUGCUACGACUUCUUGGAGGUUGCAGCACCAAUCAAAAUGUUUUUAAAAACCAUAUUCUAAUGUGUAGUUGUGUUAAUUUACAAGCACCCGCAUUGUUAAUUUGUUUGAAUUUGGUGUGUUGAAGAAAUGUCUUCAAUUUGUUAAUAUUCUCCCAAGUUUAUAUGCUCUCUAUCAUUUUAAUAACCAGAAUUAUUUUGAUAAUUAAGCAACCAAGCAUUUACGAUAUGAUGAUAUGAGUCAAUGAACACUGCACCUCUUCAGUUAAGUUGAUCUAAUUGGCAUUGUCUAAUAGAAAUGCGUCAACAUAUUAGACCUAAUACAUGUAACAUAUUAUGAAAAGUUAAAAUUAAAAUUACAUUACUGUUUUUACUGUAGCCAAUUUAAUGUUCACCCUCUCAUUUCAUUGUGGAUUUCAGUAGUAAUAUAUUUGAAAAGUUUCAAUUUAAUCUUUAAAUUUUUAUUUUGCAUAAUUGAGCUCUUUUCAGCUCAAAUUGAAUGCCAAUUUAUAUUUUUUUGGGGUGAGGGUUGAAUUAAAAGAAAGAGGGCUUAAGUGAAAAAUAAAAGUAACAUAGGUGACGGCUGUGCAAUUAUUNNNNNNNNNNNNNNNNNNNNNNNNNNNNNNNNNNNNNNNNNNNNNNNNNNNNNNNNNNNNNNNNNNNNNNNNNNNNNNNNNNNNNNNNNNNNNNNNNNNNGUUCAUUAUAGUCCCUUAUUUUUUAGCUUUGAAAGAUUUUUUUGUUUCGGAUUGAUUAUGAGUUUUAAGGUGUUUUCUUUUUUUUGUGUUUUUUAAGGCUAUAAAUUGGUUAAACAAGAAUCCAGAGUGUUUCCUAAAUAUUUUAGGUUAAAAAUAAGUUGAAAUAGGUUUUUUGGUUGAAAAAAUAAGAACCCUAUUCAAAAAAUAUUUUUUGCAUUUAUGUUUUGAUUAAUACUUAUUCUUUGCGAUUUUUUUAUUUAUUUAGUUUUUUUAAAUAACAAUUAUUUUUAAAUUAUAUUAAAUAUUAAAAAUAAAUUAAAUUUUUAUUAAUAAUAAAUAUAAAUAUUUAUGUGAAUAUAAUAAAAUCAAGUAUAAAAACAGACGAUAGAUGAUGUGAGAACUCAAUCCCAUUCCAUUUCAGAAUCAAAAUGGGGAAUAUUUCCCGGCUCAAAGGUGCAAGAAAGUUGUUCGCUGAGGCUGUGGCAUGUGUAUAUUGAAUUCUUUGUUUCGAACAGAUCCAUUAUCCCGCUUGACCAACUGAGAGAUGAUUAAUAAACAAGAGAAAAGGACUAAUCAAUGGUUUAAUUUUCAAUUUCGAACAACAUAGUACAUGCAUUGCAAAAGUCAUGAUUUUUACCAAGAGAAUUUUGAUCUUUCUUGUUGUAGAGAAAUAUUUCCCAUUUAACUUCGUAAACACAUAUCUAUAUGAUAUUAAUUAUAUAAAAAAAAAUUAUAAGAUUUGAACUUAUAAUUAUUUUGUCAAUAAAAAUACUGUUAAGUUUGCACAAGCCCCAUUAUAUUAUGCUAUUAAUUAUAUAAAAAAAUAAAGAUUUGAACUCGUAAUUUAUGUGAAUUCAUUAAAAUAUAAAAAUAUCUUAAUUUAAAAACUUAAUCUAUCGUAUAAGAUUUUAAAAUAUUAUUUAUAUUAUUUUUUAAUACUAAUAAAUAUAAAUAAUCAUGUUCUUUGCCACACUCUUGAAACUAGUGAAAACUAUUUUUCUGGGCCAUCAAACGUGGGAGAUUUUUUCCAAGAAAAACAAGAUAGGUUAUUGUCAAUCAAAAGAUUAGCGUGACUUUACACAGCUAGAGCGCAUUCUUGUUGACUAAUUAAUAUUGAAUUCAAGGCUUUGAUUUAGCAAAAAUCAAGUUGGUGAGGCAUGUGAUUCAAAUCUUUCCAAUCUCGACCAAGCCUAAUAAACCAAAAACUAUAAUAUAUAUAAAAAAUAAACCUAACCAUCUAUACUUUUCCUUCUAAAUAUUCAUACCUCUUCAACUUUAUUAUACAUUUCAUGAUAAUCACUUGAAACUACAAGAGAGGAUUACCAUACGAGCUGCCAAUGAAACACAGUCAAACCAAGAAAAAUCCCAAAUGGCAUACAAUGUCCAUGCAUUUCUCCAUAGACUACGCAGGAUAUAUAACAUAUGAUUUCCAUGGCAUGGUAGGUUAAGGUUUGCUCAAUUGAGUCAAAUUCCCAUGCAAGUCAAAAGGCAAGGAAGUAAGUAGUGAUACUUGAAUUAUUUACUAGUACAAUCUUGGAGGCUGCAACACGAUUUUAACUAAGAAAAUUGAUCCGAGUAAUUAAUUGUCUAGGUAGUCUUAAAACCUUAUAUUAUAUUGGGUCAUUUUCGUAUUAUACAAGCACACGUACGUCUAGUUAACUUGUUUGAAUUUCAUGUGGUCUCCGAUAUUAUUCUCCCAAAGUUUGUAAGCUUAUCAUUUUAAUAAUCAAAAUUACUUAAUUUGAUAAUUAGUCAACCACACAUUUUGAAUAUGGUUAAUUAAAUGAUGAUGUGAGCUCCAAUUGCAUUGAUUUAUACAAUCUUCAUGUGAACGGUGUGGUCGAGACUCUUUAAUAUACUCAUACGUGAGAUUCUUUAUAUAUAAUAUACUUAGACAUGAGAUUCUUUAUAUAUAUAUAUAGUAAUGGAUUUCUUUGAGUAGUCUACAUAUUAAUUGAGAUUAGAUUUUUUUUCUCCAGUGAUCUUAAUUGUGUAUCUACUACAUUUGCUUGAUGUGUCUCGAUGAAUUUCAUAAAUUUUCUUGAAUACUAACUCUAAAUUUUGAAUAUAAAAAGUCAAAAAAUAAAACAAAUCCCUUUUAAAUUGGCGAAGAGAGCUAGAUAUGUGGAAUGUGCAUCUUUAGAAUUCAACUUAUCAUGUUGUUGAACGGGAACAAUCUAACGUUUUGGAACCACCUAUGUGAACUUGGCAUAACAUGCAGGAGAAUUUAUUAAAUUCUUUUGAAAAUAUUAGGCUAAUAUAGGAAGUAUGUCUUUAAAAAUCACUAAAAAAAUAAUUUUAGUUUACAUGCAAGUUAUCCAUCGGAAAAGAUAUAAGUUAUUUGUGCAAGUUAGGGAAACUUUUCAUAUAUUAUAACUAGAUUAUUUCUCAUAGCUAUGCUGUGAAUUGAAUUAAAUUUUUUUAAAUGUAAAAAAAAAAAUAUCUAAGCCAUGAAGAACUAUUUAAGAUUAUUAUUAAAUCUGGUUUAGUGUGUCAAACUUGAAAACUCCUGACUGAACUCCUUAUCUAAUCAUAUUUCAAAUUAAAUCUUGUAAAAUUAUUCUAACGUGACCUAGUCGACUUAGUGGAUAUAAAAGCUAAAAAAUAAAAGAAAAAAUAAUGACCAAAAUAAAAGUAAAGAGAGAGAGAUCAGGCGCACGAGUCUAAGGACAAUAUGGAUAAUUAGUAAAAACAUAGUUUGACUUUUUUAAAAAAAUUUAAAAUAACUUUUUUUUAAAAAAAACAAUCAAACAGUGAUAUAUUGAAUCGAUCUGAGUUAACUUGUCAAACUUGUGACCAGGAUCAUGAAUUCCACUAGAUCUAAUAACAAUUAAUUAUAUGAUAAAAAAUAUGAAGACUAGUUCAAAACCAACUAAAUAUUGAAUGAAAAAAAUGAAUUUUUUUUUUAAAAUACAGCAAAAACUCAAUGUUAAAUGAUAAAACUUGAGAGAAAAAAAAUACAAGUCAUGUGCGUGAACUUGGAUUAUAACAACGAAAAAAAAAUCUUAGCUUUGUAAAGAUAUCUUAAGCCUUUAACUCAGGAAAACAAAAUGAAUUUUUUUUCUACAUUUAGUAUCAGUAAUCCAUAUUGUCAUUUUAAUCUCAUGGUUUAAUUCAAUUCGAUAUAACACAUUCAUAUACAUUACAAAUAUCAUACAAUUAUGAUUGAUGUUUCUAAUUUUUAUCAAAAUUUCAGCAGAGUCUUCUUUGUCUAGGUAACCAAACAGUUCUUCUCUUCUUCUAAAAACCUACAUAACGAUCAAGGAGAGUUUCAAAUCCCACACAUAAACAAUUUAUAUCCAGGUAUUGGGCCUCAGGCCAUUCAAUCAAUCAAUCAAUUCAUAAUAGUUCACACCUAUUAAAGUUUAUUGGGUACAUUUAAAUAAUUUAAACUUAGCUUUUCAUCAAGAUAGCAUUUCAUUACAAGAACAACAUUAUAAAUACUUAUUCAUAUUACAAUCCCCGUUCAUUUGAAUUACAAUAUACUACUAAGAACUCAUCUAACAUUGUAACUAAGAAAAUUAGAAUCUUGUCUUAGCAUGUGAUAUUCCAGAUCAUAAACAUGAAAAUUAUAGAAAUUUAAAUAAGAUAUUUAUUACAACACAAUUAAAAUAUGUCAGAUACAAUAUAUAUAUAUGAUUUUUCAUGGAGCAAACAUAAUUUCUUUGGAUAAUAAUAGAAUCGACUCAUUUGUCAUAAUCUCUACUAAUUUUAAGUAUUGUAUAGUCACCUCGUCAAGGUAAUUCCAAGCUUUAUCUUCUCAUCUAAAAGUUAUAUCUUGUUCAUAAAUCCAUCUUGGAAACUUUAUCUAUCGAAGCUCACCAUAAAGUUUUAUUAAUGGUAAUUAAAGGCCUAUUCCACGUAUCCUACCCUAUGCUAUUAAUUUAUCAAAGGUAAAUUAUCAUUUGUACUCUUUGCUCUAUAUGUUUCUUAAGGAAUUAAAUCCUUUACUAGUAUCGCCCUACAAUUUUAAAUAAAUAUAAUUAAUGAUUUAUUGAUUUCUAUUUUCCAUAAUGAAUCUUUAACAUUGAUUUAACUUAAUUUGGUUUUAGCAACAUAUCAUUCAUCUUACAACAAACUUUUAUGUACACAUGUCUUAACAUGCAUCAAUACACUUAUUUGUCCAUUGGAUUGACCAUCAUAUAGCUUGAAAUAUACAAUCAUAGAUGUCCAUGUUCUUGUCCUAUUAGGCCACCAAGAUGAUUUUCAAAUCUCUUAUCAUGUUGUACUGGAAUCAGUAUAUACUUAUGCCCUUUUACAUUAUCAAACAAUCACCAUUUUCUUCAUGAAUACACCAUCAAAACCGCAUACAUUCAACUACACCACAUUAUACAAACCAAUUCUUUAUUAUAACCCGUUUCACUAUCAUUACAAUCCUUAGAGUUCUCAUGCAUAUGUUGUCCACAACAAUAUUUGAAAUCUAUUUUCAAGUCAUUUUCACCUAGAAAACAUUGUUGUUCCCCUAAUAACUCUUUGCUCAUAUAAUAGAUUGUCAAAACAACCUACAAAUUACGCUUCGAUGCAGCCCAAAACAUAAACAUGUAGUAAUAUUAGUCAUCACACCGUGAUUGACUACCCAAUAGAUUCUAAUAUCGUUAUUGUCUAAUACUACUAGUCUUUUAACUCUAAAACACCCUAAAAUAACACAAACAAAGGGGUUUUUAUUUGUUUAGAAAUCUAUUUUCAAGUCAUUUUCACCUAGAAAACACCAUAAAAACAUUCCUAAACCAACCAUUAACUCUAAAACACCCCAAAAUAACACAAAAAAUAAAAAUCAAACUAAUCAAGAAAAUCUUAAUUGAAUCCAAUCUACUUUUCAAGCAUUGUUAGAGAAAAAGUCAUCGCUAUUUGAAAACUCAUCAUUAAAUGAAACUCGUUGAGACCAAGAACAACUACUUUUAUCGCUGAAAAGUGGUCAAACCGAUAACUUUCUCUUUUCUUAUCGUUUUUCAAUGAGUCUCUCUCAUCUAUGUAACUUGGGGUUGAGAAUGACCAAAAUAAACUUUUAGACUAAAAUAUUAAAAAUUCNNNNNNNNNNNNNNNNNNNNNNNNNNNNNNNNNNNNNNNNNNNNNNNNNNNNNNNNNNNNNNNNNNNNNNNNNNNNNNNNNNNNNNNNNNNNNNNNNNNNCUCCUCUCUCUCCUUAAAUUGGUUUAUAUCCAAAUUUCAACCAUCAUCAGCUAUAAAAGAAUCAUUGAAAAACAAAUUUGAAGACAGAAUUAAAAAAAAAGGGGACGGAAAAAAGAAAGAAAAAGGAGGGUAGUUUUUUUAGUUAAAGCUGAUGGUUUCUAGCCAAAAAAAAAGCAAUGAGUGUUGGGGUGCCACGUGUAAGGAGCCCAUUAAGUAUGUGGUGGGUGAAGUCAGCUAGAGCUAAGCAUCCAUUUUUGGUGGGGUUUUUCUGGUUAGAUUUGCCUGUUGGAGGAUCGUAGCAUGGGAUUAUAUUUGGUUGUAAAGGAAAGUGUCAAUUUAGGAGCCACCAACCAUCGACAAGUUAGUGAAAAUGGUGUCGAGUGCCGCACCCACCACCUCCUUCGAUCAAUCACCUCAUCAUCCAUGUAAUUAACCCUUUUUUGAUCUAUCACUUUUACGUUACUAAACACUUCCACUUCUAUAUUAGACGUGUGGAAUGAUUCGAUUUCUAGUUUUUUUAUUUGUGAAUCAAAUUAAUACUUGAAGCUAGUAGAUGGAUGUGUCUAAUCAACUUCCUUUGAUUCAAUUUCAUGAAAUUUUUUAUCAUAAAACAUCAAUAAAAAUGUGUUGUAUAUCUUGAACCGAUAUCUAAUAAAAUCUUAAAAGUUGGGAGUGAAAGAUAUAAUUUAUUUUAUUUUUUUAAUAUGUUUUUUAAUUAAAAAUUAUUUCAGUUUAAAACUUAAAGGAUUAUACUAUUUUAUACAUUAAAAAAUAAUUCAUAACUAUUUGGUUAUCAUGUAAAAAAAAUAUUUUAAAUUAAAAAAUUUAAAUUUUUAAAAUUAUAUAAAUUGCUCUCUUUUGAAUAACCUUUCGUAUUGUGAUGUUUCAUGGGUAAAUAAAACAUGAUAAAAUAUAAUAAGAAAGAAUUUUGCUAGGAAAAAUACAAAAAUGAGAUACCAAAUCUAUUUAUUUAAUUGAACAAAACUAUUUUUCUAUCAAUCUCACAUGUAUAUCAAACAAUAAAGGAUAAAUUAGAAAGUGGACUUGUCACUAAUUAAAUGUAUAUAUUAUGAUUUUUAUUUUCUAAGAUGAUAUAUUAGGAUUUUUUAUUAUUAUUAAUGUAGGUGUUCGGACUAACUUGCGUGUACCUCAACUAAUCUCACGAGUUUUGAAGUUAACGAUCAUGUAAAUCUUCAAUGAUCCUGAGAUUUGUAAGACUCGAACUGGUAAUAUCUAGAGAAUAAAUUUAGAAUAUGAUGAAUUAAGUUUCACUUCUCAUGAUUAAUAUAUUUAGAGUUUUGAAUACUUAAAAGGAGGUGUUGUUUUUAUUUUUAUUUUCAAAUCUAAGAACCUCAAAAACUUUUAGGAAUCUAAAAAAAAACUCAUUUUUUUAACCCCAAAACAUUUUCUAAUUAGCCUAAAUAAUGAAAAUCAAUCUGAAUAAAAAAAAUAUUGGUCUAAUAUAUUUUUUCUAGCAUGGUUAAAAGGCAAAAUCAUUUUUAUUGAACUCUUUUUUUCAAAACAAAUCCAUUGAUGUUAAAAUUAGUUUUUUUAUGACCGGAAUAUGAUUAGCUUCACCACAUUCUCCCCCUCUCAACAUACAAUAACUAAAAAUAUGAUAAAAAUGAAGUUUUAAGAUGGAGUCGUAAAAAUUUUAAACAAUAUGAUUAAAUAAAUCUGAAAAACAAAAACUUCAAGGACCAUAUUAAACUUUUCUACAACUUUGGAAAAAGAUUGCAUUAUAGGAGAAUAGUUUAAUGCACAAUAACUUGAGUCUUGCUGCACAAUAAAAUUUAUUAUGGUAAGAAUAACAAAUGUUUUAAUUUAGAUUAUAACACGAAGCAUACACAAUUAAGAUUACAACAAGGAGAUUUCAAGUAGUUAAACUUAGGUUAUAUUAGAUAUGACUUUUGUAAAUUGAUUUAAUAUAUUUUUCACUUUUGAUUUUAAUUUUAAUUUUUUUUAAGUAAGUUAAAAUAGCUUUUGAUUUAAAUUUUUUUUGUUAUAAAUUGGAUUCAAACCUUUGAUUUAAUAAAAAACAAGAAAAUUUUACUUUAGUUUGUGGAUUUUAUACUGAAUUCCUUAUUAAAAAGUUAUUUUGAAUCAUUUUUACAAAUAAUGCUUAUAACUUACGGUUAUUUUAAUUUAUUUUUUUCAUAAAUUGUUUAUAAAAAACAACUUUUAAAUUACAAUUCAAAGUAAAAUAUCAUAAUUAGUUAUGAAUUGGAUUCGAUGAAAGGAAGAUGGGAAGAGGGGAAAUGGGUAACGGGAAAUUAAAGAGAGAUGAUGAUCUGCGCAUGGCUACCUGUACCAGAACAGAUGGAAAAAACUCGAAACAACUCGGCUAGAAUUUAGGCAAGAAAUUCAGAAUGAGUCAACAUUUUAAGUGAGAUGAAAUUUGUCUCACUUUGUUCUAUUAAACAGAGGAGCAUUUAGAGGAUAGAAUAUUAGAGUCUCUAGCAAAAGCCAGCAAGGUAUAUUUAGAGCCAAAUUCGGGUAACAAAUUAUCAUAACCAACUGAUCCAUUUCGGCUCGGAGGCUUCAGAUUUGUACCAGUCAUCAACUGGUGCUCUUUGCUUUGCAGCCUUUGAGGAAGAAGUAAAAGCCUCCAAAAAUAUCAUCAUUAUUAUUAACAGAUGAACUAGACCCGUUUAACCCACCAAAAUAUAUCAUCAUUAAAAGAUGAUUUCGCACUCGUAUUUUUAGUACUGGAAAACACAAAAUCAUAACCGAAAUCAAACCCAGUGCUAUUUUGUUUUUAAUUCUUUUGAAAAACAUCAAAAAUGUCAAAAUCAUCAUCAAAAUUCUAUAAUUUUGAAUUGCUAAAGAGAGUUUCGUGAUAAUCCAUGAAAGACCUAUCAAAAGAAUUGGAAAUGAAGGUUAAUUUAGAAGAAUAUGAGGAGGGUUUCUGGUUUGAUGGAGGGAAAUUCAAAUAACAAAACUGGCUAUAUGUUUCUUUGAGGAUGAAACAUGCAAGAGAUUCCACCACCAGGACAGACAACAACACNNNNNNNNNNNNNNNNNNNNNNNNNNNNNNNNNNNNNNNNNNNNNNNNNNNNNNNNNNNNNNNNNNNNNNNNNNNNNNNNNNNNNNNNNNNNNNNNNNNNUAUUCAACUUUUACCUACUUUUCUUCGCUUAGAAUUAGAAAAUCCAUACUUGCAUUUAAGAGAAUUUGAAGAAGUUUGUAACACCUAUAAUGACUUAAAUUGUAGCAUAAACACCAUCAGAUUAAAGUUUUUUCCUUUUUCAUUAAAAGAUAAAGCUAAAACAUGGCUACAAAAUCUUAGGUCAGGAUCCAUUCGUGCUUGGAAUAAAAUGCAACAACAAUUUUUAAAGAAGUUUUUCCCUUCUCAUAGAACAAACUCUUUCAAAAGAUAAAUCACCAUUUUCAAUCAAAAACCAGGAGAAAUAUUUUACAAGUGUUGGGAUAGAUAUAAAGACUUGCUUAAUACCUGUCCUCAUCAUGGUUUUGAAACAUGGAGAUUGGUUUCACAAUUUUAUGAAGGGUUAACACCUAAAGAUAGACAAAUGAUGGAAUUGAUGUGCAAUGGAACUUUUGAAAACAAAGACCCUGAUAAAGCAAUGGAGUACCUAGACUUGAUAGCUGAAAAUGCUCAAAAUUAGGACACUACAUGCACUUGUGAGGCACCAGGUAAAACUUAACCUCAUACAUUUAGUGGAGGCAUGUAUAACCUUAGGAAAGAUCAUGACCUCCAAGCCAAAUUUGCAUCUUUAGCUAGAAAAGUUGAGGCACUAGAAUUAAAAAAGAGUGGUCAAUUAAAAUCUGUUCAAGAAAUUGUGUGUCAAACUUGUGAAACUAAUGAACACUCAACCAAUGAUUGUCCAACUUUGCCUUCUUUUAAUCACCAAAAUUUCAGUUGGAAGAGUAGUAACAAUAAUGCGCAAACUUCACAACCACCAUUUCAAACACAUCAUAAUUUUCAAAAUUCUCAUGGAUAUGCACCUCCUUAUGUUCCCCAUCCUAGAAGAAAUCUUGAGGAAAUAUUGGAUGCAUUCAUUGAAAAGCAAGAGACAAUCAACACUCAACUUGCUUAAAACAUGACAGAUUUUAAAGAUACUCUUGCAAAAUUCACAUCUGCUCUAAGUUUUCAGGAGAAAGGUAAGUUCUCAUCUCAACCACAGCAAAAUCCCAAUGGGAAAUACAAUGCAAAUGCAAGUAGUUCUAGAAGCCAACACAUAGAUCAAGUCAAAUCAGUCAUUAUUAUCCACGGUGGUAAGGUUAUUGAAAAACCAAUUUUUGAACCUUGUGAGAAAGAUGAUGAGUCAAUCUCUAAGGGUAAUUAAGGAAAGGGUUAAACCUGAACAUUGCAAAGAAAAGACUAAUUCCCCACUAAUACUUCCAUUUCCUCAUGCUAUGACCAAACAAAGGGAAGUCAAUCACGAUUCUGAAAUUUUUAAAACUUUCAAAUAGGAAGAAAUCGAGGAUGAAAAAGGCACCGAAAAUAUUGUCGUGGAUCAUUUGUAAAAAUUGACAAUAGAUUCGAUAUCUGACAUCACACUAAUUGAUGAUUACUUUCCAGAUGAAUCUUCACUUUCUAUUGCUUCAAUACCUUGGUCUGCUAAUAUUGAUAAUUUUCUUGCUUCAAGAUUUUUGCCAGCUCAUUUGGAUACCCAAGAUAAAAGAAAGUUCUUGAGCGACAUGCAGAACUUUUAUUGGGAUGACCCUUACUUAUUCAAAUAUUGUCCUAAUCAAAUAUAUCAAAGAUGCAUUUCUGACAAUGAGGUAAGUGGUGUCAUAAAAUUUUGUCACUCUGAAGCAUGUGGGGGUCAUUUCUCAUCAAGAAAGACGACUGCAAAAAUCUUACAAUGUGGAUUCUACUGGUCCAUCAUGUUCAAAUACAAAUAUGCAUUCUGCAAAACCUGUGAAAAUUGUCAAAAGGUGGGAUUUAUUUCAAAACAUAGAGAGUCUUUAGAUAAUCUUCUAUUGACUCUUAAGUCUCAUCGUAAUGGAGAUGUGCAUCGUGCAAUUCAUGAUUUAUAGCCCUAUUUUCAUAAAGAACAUGAUCGACUUAGUCUUGAGAAUCUAACUAAAAAAGACCCUGUUUGUCAGUUUUUAAGAAAACUGGAUGGGAAGCGUAUCCCUGACCCAUAGAGAGUGUUUAAGCCAUUCUUGGACGUAAAAUCAAGGGAAGAUGUGAGCCACGAUCACAACUACGAUUUAAGCCUUAGGUUGCAAAAAUUUAUGUAUUUUGGUUUUAUUAAUAGCAUAAUAUUUGUGUUCUGUUGUUUCUUAUAUUUGUUUAAGUGUGUUUUAGGUUUGUUUGUAGUCGCUAUUUUAGGUGAUGUCUUCUAUAUUCUAUCUUUCUGCCUUAAAACAUUGAGGACAAUGUCUCCUUUUGUUUGGGGGGAGAGGGUAGUAGUUGACAAAAAAAAUAUUACUAAUUGUGUUUUCUAUUAUUAAAAUCAUUUGCAAAACUGUUGUUACUAGGAUGGCAGAGUAAAUGAGGAACUUUAAUAACUCUUGAGACGCAUCUUAGUAAAUAUUUUUAACAAAGUCUAUCAGAAUACUUCUUGAAAUAUUCAGGUUUACAAACUCUUGUAUUGUUAUCACUUGAUUCUGCUCAUAUACUCAUUUAAUAAAUAUUCCUAAACCUUUAUUUUCACACACACACUUUAACAUAUGAUUGUGGGUUGCACAUUGGAUUAUUACAUUAUUUAUGUUCUUUUGUUAAAGGUAACAACUAAGGGAAAGGGAAUAUAUAAUAUUCAAAAAAAUAAACAAAACAAAAACAAAAGCAAAUUGAUAAUAAAAUGAAUAAAUAAUGAAAAAGUAGAUAAGUUUGGAUUCGUAGCUCUUACUUAAGCAAUUAAGCCCGAAGGGGUGUUUUAACACCUAGUNNNNNNNNNNNNNNNNNNNNNNNNNNNNNNNNNNNNNNNNNNNNNNNNNNNNNNNNNNNNNNNNNNNNNNNNNNNNNNNNNNNNNNNNNNNNNNNNNNNNGCUUGUUACAUGGGUUGAGGAGAAAGCUUAAGAGAAUCAAACAUUGCACUAUCUACGUAUCAGUAUCUGCAACCCGAGUUACUAAGCUCGUAGGGGUGUCUCAACACCUGAUGCCCUUAGACCAACUAGUUUGGUAGUCAUUAGCCGAAAGCUCGUUACAUGGGUUAAAGAUGCAUUGUGUUUUAAGUUAUAUGUAUAUAUACCAAAAUAAUAAUAAUAAUAAUAAUAAUAAUAAUAAUAAUAAUAAUAAUAAUAAUAAUAAUCCCAACUCAAUGAAGUUAACCUUAGAAAAAUAUUAGAACAGAACAUUGUUUUCUUCCAAUAAAAGCCCCAUCAUCCAUGUUUUCAUAUAUUAAGCACAUAAAAAGAAGGUUUAUUAAUAUCUUGUUUAAGAAGUAUAAAGCAGAUAUAUAAAUGAGAGUUUGUUUAUUUGGAUAGAUUAAUGGAAGUUAAAUGAUAAAUGUCUUACUUUGUGGAACUUUCAAAUUGUUUUUCUAUUUUAACACUUUGAUUACUAGGGACUAGUAAUAAGCUGAUUGAGGGGUGUAAUUAGUACUUAAAAGUGCAUUUUCAUUAAGGUUUUAUAUUAUCAUAUUGCACUAAAGUAUCAUUAAAUUCCCUAACUAAAACAUGUUUUACAAUAACAAGAGUCAUAAAUUGAUUAAACAAGAGUCCAAGGGUGUUUCUUAGAUAUUUUGGGUUAAAAAUAGGUUGAAAUAGGUUUUUUGGUUGAAAAAAUAAGAAUCCUAUUCAAAAAAUAAUUUUUGCAUUUAUGUUUUGAUUAAUUCCUCUUCUUGGUGAUCGAUUUUUUUACUUAUUUAGUUUUUUUAAAUAACAAUUAUUUUUAUAUUAUAUAAAUAUUAAAGAUAAAUUAAAUUUUUAUUAAUAAUAAAUAUAUAUUUAUGUGAAUAUAAUAAAAUCAAGUAUAAAAACAGACGAUAGAUGAUGUGAGAACUCAAUCCCAUUCCAUUUCAGAAUCAAAAUGGGGAAUAUUUCCCGGCUCAAAGGUGCAAGAAAGUUGUUCGCUUAGGCUGUGGCAUGUGUAUAUUGAAUUCUUUGUUUCGAACAGAUCCAUUAUCCCGCUUGACAAACUGAGAGAUGAAAAAGGAAAAAAAAACCAUGAUUAAUAAACAAGAGAAAAGGACUAAUCAAUGGUUUAAUUUUCAAUUUCGAACAACAUAGUACAUACAUUGCAAAAGUCAAUAUUUUUAUUUAUAGAAUUUUGAUCUUUCUUGUUGUGGAGAAUUUCCCAUUUAACUUCAUCAACAUAUAUUAUGCUAUUAAUUAUAUAUAUAAAAAAUUUAAACUCAUAAUUAUUGUGAAUUCGUUAAAAUAUAAAAAUAUCUCAAUUUAAAAACUUAAUUUAUUCGAAUAAAAUUUUAAAAUAUUAUUUAUAUUAUUUUUUAAUACUAAUAAAUAAAUAAUCAUGUUCUUUGCCACACUCUUGAAACUAGUGAAAACUAUUUUUAUGGACCAUCAAACGUGGGAGAUUUUUUCCUAGAAAAACAAGAUAGGUUAUUGUCAAUCAAAAGAUUAGCGUGACUUUACACAGCUAGAGCGCAUUCUUGUUGACUAAUUAAUAUUGAAUUCAAGGCUUUGAUGUAGCAAAAAUCAAGUUGGUGAGGCAUGUGAUGCAAAUCUUUCCAAUCUCGACCAAGCCUAAUAAACCAAAAACUAUAAUAUAUAUAAAAAAUAAACCUAACCAUCUAUACUUUUCCUUCUAAAUAUUCAUACCUCUUCAACUUUAUUAUACAUUUCAUGAUAAUCACUUGAAACUACAAGAGAGGAUUACCAUACGAGCUGCCAAUGAAACACAGUCAAACCAAGAAAAAUCCCAAAUGGCUUACAAUGUCCAUGCAUUUCUCCAUAGACUGCGCAGGAUAAAUAACAUAUGAUUUCCAUGCAUGGUAGGUUAAGGUUUGCUCAAUUGAGUCAAAUUCCCAUGCAAGUCAAAAAGGCAAGGAAGUAAGUAGUGAUACUUGAAUUAUUUACUAGUACAAUCUUGGAGGCUGCAACACCGAUCAACACGAUUUUAACUAAGAAAAUUGAUUGAGUAAUUAAUUGUCUAGCUAGUCUUAAAACCUUAUAUUAUAUUGGGUCAUUUUCGUAUUAUACAAGCACACGUUCGUCUAGUUAACUUGUUUGAAUUUCAUUUGGUCUCCGAUAUUAUUCUCCCAAAGUUUGUAAGCUUAUCAUUUUAAUAAUCAAAAUUACUUAAUUUGAUAAUUAGUCAACCACACAUUUUGAAUAUCGUUAAUUAAAUGAUGAUGUGAGCUCCAAUUGCAUUGAUUUAUACAAUCUUCAUGUGAACGGUGUGGUCGAGAUUCUUUAAUAUACUCAUACGUGAGAUUCUUUAUAUAUAAUAUACUUAGACAUGAGAUUCUUUAUAUAUAUAUAUAGUAAUGGAUUUCUUUGAGUAGUCUACAUAUUAAUUGAGAUUAGAUUUUUUUUCUCCAGUGAUCUUAAUUGUGUAUCUACUACAUUUGCUUGAUGUGUCUCGAUGAAUUUCAUAAAUUUUCUUGAAUACUAACUCUAAAUUUUGAAUACAAAAAGUCAAAAAAUAAAACAAAUCCCUUUUAAAAUGGCGAAGAGAGCUAGAUAUGUGGAAUGUGCAUCUUUAGAAUUCAACUUAUCAUGUUGUUGAACGGGAACAAUCUAACGUUUUGGAACCACCUAUGUGAACUUGGCAUAACAUGCAGGAGAAUUUAUUAAAUUCUUUUGAAAAUAUUAGGCUAAUAUAGGAAGUAUGUCUUUAAAAAUCACUGAAAAAAUAAUUUUAGUUUACAUGCAAGUUAUCCAUCGGAAAAGAUAUAAGUUAUUUGUGUAAGUUAGGGAAAUUUUUCAUAUAUUAUAACUAGAUUAUUUCUCAUAGCUAUGCUGUGAAUUGAAUUAAAUUUUUUUAAAUGUAAAAAAAAAAAUAUCUAAGCCAUGAAGAACUAUUUAAGAUUAUUAUUAAAUCUAGUUUAGUGUGUCAAACUUGAAAACUCCUGACCGAACUCCUUAUCUAAUCAUAUUUCAAAUUAAAUCUUGUAUAAUUAUUCUAACGUGACCUAGUCGACUUAGUGGAUAUAAAAGCUAAAAAAUAAAAGAAAAAAUAAUGACCAAAAUAAAAGUAAAGAGAGAGAGAUCAGGCGCACGAGUCUAAAGACAAUAUGGAUAAUUAGUAAAAACAUAGUUUGACUUUUAAAAAAAAUUCAAGAUAACUUUUUUUAAAAAAAAACAAUCAAACAGUGAUAUAUUGAAUCGAUCUGAGUUAACUCGUCAAACUUGUGAUCAGGAUCAUGAAUUCCACUAGAUCUAAUAACAAUUAAUUAUAUGAUAAAAAAUAUGAAGACUAGUUCAAAACCAACUAAAUAUUGAAUGAAAAAAAUGAAUUUUUUUUUAAAAUACAGCAAAAACUCAAUGUUGAAGGAUAAAACUUGAGAGAAAAAAAAUACAAGGCAUGUGCGUGAACUUGGAUUAUAACAACGAAAAAAAAAUCUUAGCUUUGUAAAGAUAUCUUAAGCCUUUAACUCAGGAAAACAAAAUGAUUUUUUUUUCUACAUUUAGUAUCAGUAAUCCAUAUUGUCAUUUUAAUCUCAUGGUUUAAUUCAAUUCGAUAUAACACAUUCAUGUACAUUACAAAUAUCAUACAAUUAUGAUUGAUGUUUCUAAUUUUUAUCAAAAUUUCAGCAGAGUCUUCUUUGUCCAGGUAACCAAACAGUUCUUCUCUUCUUCUAAAAACCUACAUAACGAUCAAGGAAAGUUUCAAAUCCCACACAUAACAAUUUAUAUCCAGGUAUUGGGCCUCAGGCCAUUCAAUCAAUCAAUCAAUUCAUAAUAGUUCACACCUAUUAAAGUUUAUUGCGUACAUUUAAAUAAUUUAAACUUAACUUUUCAUCAAGAUAGCAUUUCAUUACAAGAACAACGUUGUAAACAUUAUAAAUACUUAUUCAUAUUACAAUCCCCGUUCAUUUGAAUUACAAUAUACUACUAAGAACUCAUCUAACAUUGUAACUAAGAAAAUUAGAAUCUUGUCUUAGCAUGUGAUAUUCCAGAUCAUAAACAUGAAAAAUAUAGAAAUUUAAAUAAGAUAUUUAUUGCAACACAAUUAAAAUAUGUCAGAUACAAUAUGUAUAUGAUUUUUCAUGGAGCAAACCUCCAUAAUUUCUUUUGAUAAUAAUAGAAUCGACUCAUUUGUCAUAAUCUCUACUAAUUUUAAGUAUUGUAUAGUCACCUCGUCAAGGUAAUUCCAAGCUUUAUCUUCUCAUCUAAAAGUUAUAUCUUGUUCAUAAAUCCAUCUUGGAAACUUUAUCUAUCGAAGCUCACCAUAAAGUUUUAUUAAUGGUAAUUAAAGGCCUAUUCCACGUAUCCUACCCUAUGCUAUUAAUUUAUCAAAGGUAAAUUAUCAUUUGUACUCUUUGCUCUAUAUGUUUCUUAAGGAAUUAAAUCCUUUACUAGUAUCGCCCUACAAUUUUAAAUAAAUAUAAUUAAUGAUUUAUUGAUUUCUAUUUUCCAUAAUGAAUCUUUAACAUUGAUUUAACUUAAUUUGGUUUUAGCAACAUAUCAUUCAUCUUACAACAAACUUUUAUGUACACAUGUCUUAACAUGCAUCAAUACACUUAUUUGUCCAUUGGAUUGACCAUCAUAUAGCUUGAAAUAUACAAUCAUAGAUGUCCAUGUUCUUGUCCUAUUAGGCCACCAAGACGAUUUUCAAAUCUCUUAUCAUGUUGUACUGGAAUCAGUAUAUAUUUAUGCCCUUUUACAUUAUCAAACAAUCACCAUUUUCUUCAUGAAUACACCAUCAAAACCGCAUACAUUCAACUACACCACAUUAUACAAACCAAUUCUUUAUUAUAACCUGUUUCACUAUCAUUACAAUCCUUAGAGUUCUCAUGCAUAUGUUGUCCACAACAAUAUUUAAAAUCUAUUUUCAAGUCAUUUUCACCUAGAAAACAUUGUUGUUCCCCUAAUAACUCUUUGCUCAUAUAAUAGAUUGUCAAAACAACCUAAAAAUUACGCUUCGAUGCAGCCCAAAACAUAACACAUGUAGUAAUAUUAGUCAUCACACCGUGAUUGACUACCCAAUAGAUUCUAAUAUUGUUAUUGUCGCGGGUGCGUGACGUCGCGGCGAAUAUUCCACUUUUAAAAUCUAGGAAGUGUGUAUGGUAUCUAUCUGGCAAAUGUGGGGAGACAAGAAAAUAUUGUCUUUUGUUGGUAGAAAAUGGAAUGGGAGUCGCCACCUAGUAUUUUGGUCACUAGGAACCCUAACUGGUCUCAGAGAUUGGGUACGGGGACUGGUUGCGUAAAGGGAAGGUAUUAGCACCCCAAAUACGCCCUACCUAAGGUAAGCUGCAUUGUUUAUUUGUCUGAUAAAAUUCAAGGUCUCGUUGUGUUUCCUAGUUGUUGGUCCGUCUAUGGUUCAAGAAAAGUCCUCCUCAAUAAGGAGGUCCUUAUCUUAUCGGGUAAAAACCUAAUCCUUCUAACGUCUAUGUAUGUUGGUCCGUCUAUGGUUCAAGAAAAGUCCUCCUCAAUAAGGAGGUCCUUAUCUUAUCGGUUAAAACCUAACCGUUCUAACGUCUAUGAAAAACCAUAUUUUUAAUAUCAGGAAUACGUCUUACGUAUAAAUUCGUAAUCCCAUGUACUAAAAGAAGACAAAAAGAUUUUUUAGAAUUUUUGAAAUAUUGGCCUAGUUCUCAUGGCUUGAAUAAACUGGUUAUUAAAGCCAAAAUGCAUGCUAAUACAUAUAUUGUUUUGAAAUUUUCUUUGUUGUGUGAAAAAUAUGAUGUUAUAAUAUUUAUAUAUAUAUAUUGGAGAGACUAGGCCGUAUGCAUGAAAACAAAACAUUUUUUAAAAUAUUUUAUUUAUUUUUUUAUGUCUUGACGAAAACCGGGUAUUUGAAUACCGGAUUUGUAUCUUUACAGUAUAAAAAUACAAAUCGAUAUUGAUCAAAAUACAGUAAUAAACUUGCAGAAAAUCACAUAUUUUUUUGGAAUAAUUUUCGAAGAAAUUAAUUAAUUUUUCUAUAUAUAUAUCUAGAUAUAAAUAAUACAAAAUACAAUACAAUAUACAUCGUAUAUAAUAUAUAAUUGGGCUGGGCUGGGCCGGCCCAACGAACUAGGCCGGACUCAGCCCCAAAAUGUGUUGGGCCGAUCUCGGGCCAAGAGGUAUUGGGUCGAUCUCGGCCCAAACAAAAUCUAUUUUAUCAUGGGCCGGAUCCAGCCCUGCCAGCAGGGCUGGGCUAGGAUCAGUCCGGCCCACAGAAGGAAACCCAUAUUGCUGGGCCAGAACCAAUCUGGCCCAGCCUAAUUAAAAACCAACGGGGGGAAUUAUUUCCCCCCCAUCCUGCAUGCAGAACGCUGUUCGUUCUGCAUGCAGGAGAAGAACCAAACCGAUGCACAAAGAGGGGGGAGAAGAGCACCUGGCGUGGAAGAGGCGGUGCGUUGCUGGUAUGUCCGCGGUGCUGCGGUGGAGGCUGGUGGCUUCACUGGCGUGCACUGGUCCCGGUUGGAAGAAGAAGGAGCAGAUUCCUACAGAGGAGAAGGAAAGCUCUCGGCUGGAGCUAUUGGUGUGACUGAGGAAGGAGCUACUACUCCGGUUGCUGCUGGGCGUCGCUGGAGGAAGGAGGACUGCUGUUGGCCGGUGAAGAAGCUGGAAGGCGGAGGCUUGCUCCUGUGGAGGUUGUCACUGCUGAGGAGGCCGCGGGAGGCGUUGCUGGGGCUGUUGAAGCUGCGAUGAAGGAGAAGCUGAGGUGAAGAUCUGUUGCUGGCGUUGUGUUGAUGGGAGGGAGAGGGGACAAUGUUUCUUUGGGACUGCUGGAAGAGAAUGAGAGGAAAGGGAGGGGGCUGCCCCGGUUUGGCUUUGCAAGAGAGGGGGUUGUCCCUUGUUGCUGGCUGCUGAGGGGAAGAAGAAAAUCAAGGGGAGGGGAGAGGUGUGUGAGGGCUGUUCGGGUGUGUGGGUCUGUGGGGGGCUGGACUACGGCCGGCUGUCACUGGUUGAGGGAGAAGAAGCUGGAAAAAGAAAACUGGUUGCAGGAAAACCGGGCUGGAAAAGCUUAUUUUGUGCCAAUUUUGAGCUCCAUCCCACCAACCCUUUGAGCAUGAAAAUUGCUCCUAUUUAUAGGGCUGGAAAGAGGGUAAUCUUGUCUUCAACGGGGAAAAAGUCUCAGCCCUUGAUUCGACUCGAGUAAUCCAAACCAUUAGUUCAAAGUGUGCACCUCGAACUGCCAAAUUUGCAGACUACCCGAGGUGCACGAUUUGGGCCAAAAAACGGAGCCGUUCCAAACCUUUUUGACCCGACCGGACCACUCCCCAUGAUAAAUGGGUUCCAGGUGGAUAUGUUGGUGCAUGCUUUGUCGGAUUUGGGGGCCAAACGAGGCAGAAAACACGCCUGGAAGUCGGCCACUCGGGCAACUCGGUGGGGAAGAAAAUGAACAGUACCGGGCGACGCGUCGCCUGGUUCCUGCCCCUUCUUCUUCUUUUUUUUUUUAAAAUGCAAAAACGGUGCCGUUUUGAUAAAAAUAGGGAUUUCUUUGCCAAUUUUCAAUUUAGUCCUCCGACUUUCAAUUUCGUUCAAGAUUAUUCCCUAAUUGACCCUAAAACUUCUGAUUUGAUGCAAUUUAGUCCCGGCAUAACUUCAUCUUCGGCCCCAGAGUUACGCGCCUUUUGCAAUAUGGUCCUUGGUCUCGGAUUUAUGCAAUUUCAUCCCUAAUUGACCAUUAAACUUUCAAUUUCUUCAAUUAGGCCCCUGAACCGAAUAAUCGCAGCCCCUCCAUUUACGCGCCUCUUCCAAUUUGGUCCCUGGUUUCGGAUUUUCUCAAUUAAGUCCCCAAUUGGCCCUUAAACUUCAAUAUUUAUGCAAUUAGACCCCUGAUUUGACCUAAUAAAUUCCUAAAAAAUAUAUUUUGGCCCCAGAACUUAAAUUUCUUCUAAUUAAAGCCCAAAUUGACUUAAAAAUCAAUUUUUCUUACAAUCAAAUCUCCUAUAAAUUCAUUUAAAAAUCCAAUUAAGUCCAUAAACAUCCAAAUUUGGGCUUUUCUCCUCAAAUUUCAAAUUUUCCUUCUCAACAGGGCUAUCCUCCUUCAAGAAUAUACUGUCAAAAAAUCCAAUCUUUGUAUUUUUAACCUCAUUGACCAAUUUUCCAACCAUUUUCUGAGCGCUUCUGCCUUCUGUUUUUUCUAACCUCCUUUGGCUAUAUAUUUUUAUAUAUAUUUUGUGGGGACCCAAAAAUGGGUUACAACAGUUAUUGUCUAAUACUACUAGUCUUUUAACUCUAAAACACCCUAAAAUAACACAAACAAAGGGGUUUUUAUUUGUUUAGAAAUCUAUUUUCAAGUCAUUUUCACCUAGAAAACACCAUAAAAACAUUCCUAAACCAUCCAUUAACUCUAAAACACCCCAAAAUAACAGAAAAAAUAAAAAUCAAACUAAUCAAGAAAAUCUUAAUUGAAUCCAAUCUACUUUUCAAGUAUUGUUAGAGAAAAAGUCAUCGCUAUUUGAAAACUCAUCAUUAAAUGAAACUCAUUGAGACCAAGAACAACAACUUUUAUCGCUGAAAAGUGUUAAACCGAUAAUUUUCUCUUUUCUUAUUAUUUUUUAAUGAGUCUCUCUCAUCUGUGUAACUCGGGGUUGAGAAUAAGAAAAAUAAAUUUUUAGACUAAAAUAUUAAAAAUUCUAAAACUUUGAAAUUAACAAUGUAUUUUCUUCAUGUUUUACAUUUCACUCCUCUCACUUUUAAUUUGGUUUUUAUUAUCAAAAUUGUCGCACGUGAGCGACGUCGCGGCGAUCGUCCACCCACAAAUGUAAUGGGGGGAUAUAUAUCUGGUCAAUGUAGGGAGAUAAGGAAUUCGUUGUCUCUUAGCAGUGAAAAAUGGUGUGGGAGUCGCCACCUAGUAUUUUGGUCACUAGGAACCCUAACUGGUCUCAGAGAUCGGGUACGGGGACUGGUUGCGUAAAGGGAAGGUAUUAGCACCCCAAAUACGCUCUACCUAAGAUAAGCUGCAUCGUUUUAUUGUCUGAUAAAAUUUAAGGUGUUUUCGUUGUGUUUCCUAGUUGUUGGUCCGUCCAUGGUUCAAGAAAAGUCCUCCUCAAUAAGGAGGUCCUUAUCUUAUCGAGUAAAACCUAACCGUUCUAAUGUCUAUGUAUGUUGGUCUGUCUAUGGUUCAAGAAAAGUCCUCCUCAAUAAGGAGGUCCUUAUCUUAUCGGGUAAAAACCUAACCAUUCUAAUGUCUAUGUAUGUUGGUCCGUCUAUGGUUCAAGAAAAGUCCUCCUCAAUAAGGAGGUCCUUAUCUUAUCGGGUAAAACCUAACCGUUCUAAUGUCUAUGUAAAAAAGCUAUAUUUUUAAUAUCAGGAAUACAUUUUACGUAUAAAUUCUUAAUCCCAAAUACUAAAAGAAGACAAAAAGAUUUUUUUAGAAUUUUUGAAAUAUUGGCCUAGUUCUCAUGGCUUGAAUAAACUGGUUAUUAAAGCCAAAAUGCAUGCUAAUACAUAUAUUGAUUUUUGAAAUUUCAUUUGUUGUGUGAAAAUAUGCUGUUAUAAUAUUUAUAUAUAUAUAUUGGAGAGACUAGGCCGUAUGCAUGAAAACAAAACAUUUUUUUUUUGUAAUUAUGUAUUUUUUGAUGUUUUGACGCAAAUCGGGUAUUUUAAUACUGGGUUUGUAUUCUUACAGUAUAAAAAUAUAACCAAAUAUUAAUCCACUUUGAUAAAACAAAUGCAGAAAAAUUAACAAUAUUUUUAAAGAUAUUUUUAGAAAUAUAUAUAUAUAUAUUUUUAAUUAUCAUAUUUUAUAUAUAUAUACAUAUAUACACACAUAUAUUAUAACAUAUUAUAAUAUAUAAUAUAUAAUAUAAAAACAAAUCGGGCUGGGCCGGCCCAAGUAAAUGGGCCGGACUCAGCCCAACAAAGAAAGGUUGGGCCGAUCUCGGCCCAGACUGGGUUGGGCCGAUCUCGGCCCAACAGGCCAUCAUGCUUCUUCUGUGACGGGAUACUGUACACAACAGUGACUGAGAUACUGUACACAAAUAGUGACGGGGUACUGUGCACAAAUAGUAACCGGGUUACUGUACAUAAGCACAGUAACCCGUUAAUUAAUUAGGUGGCUACUGUGCACCUGCACAGUAACAUGUUAAUUAAUUAGACCUGCAUAGUAACCGGGGGAAUUAAUUAGCCGGUUACUGUGCCCCUGCACAGUAACCAGCUAAUUAAUUUCUUGCUUGCAGAACGUGCACAGUGCACGUUCUGCAUGCAAGAAGAUGAACAGGGGAAGAGUUACCUGCGACGAUGAGCUUGGGUAGAGGAGCUGACAGUGGUGCUGGUGGUGGUUUUGCUGGUGGUUGCUGACCGAAGGUUGGCUCUUCCUCUUCUCUACUGCUUUCUAUGUUAUUUCUCCUCUCCUCUCUCUCUUCUGUUUUUUUUCUUCCUCCUUCCUGUGUCUGUUCUCUUCUCUAUUUAUAGGAAAAAAUGGAGCAGGUGCGCCUUCAAUCACGCAACGGCUGGUCGGCCAGUGACCCGUUCGGUGGUCUAAAGGUGUGGGGACGAGGAGAGAGAGGCGGGACUUUUUUUGAAAAUGGUUUUUGUCUUCUGUUGUUGUUCAACGGGGGAAGGAGGAAGAUGAACAGUGUCGUUCAAAACGACACCGUUCUGGCCUUCCUCUUUUUUUUUUUUUUUAUAUGAAACGACGUCGUUUUGGAUAAAACGCGUCGUUUCAUUUAAAUGAGCCAAACUUCAAAUCAGUCCUCUAUCAUUUCUUGUUCAUUUCAAUUGUAUCCCUGCCAAAUUCGAUCUCCGCCCCCAUAGUUGGCCGCGUUGUUCACUUUAGUCCUUGGCCUCUGAUUUAUGCAAUUAAGCCCUCAAUUGAUCAAUAAACUUCCAAUUUCUUCAAUUAGGCCCCUGAACCAAAGUAAAACAGCCCCCCUCUAUUUACCCGGUUUUUCCAAAUUGGUCCCUGGUUUCGGUUUUUUUAAUUAAACCCCUAAUUGGUCAUUAAACUUCAAUAUUUAUUCAAUUAAACCCCUGAUUUGACCCAAUAAAUUCCUAAAAAAUAUAUUUUGGCCCCAGAACUUAAAUUUCUUUCAAUUAAAGCCUAAAUUGACUUAAAAAUCAAUUUUCUUGCAAUCAAAUCCCCUAUAAAAUCAAUUAAAAAACCAAUUAAGUCUAUAAACAUCCAAACUUGGGCUUUUCUCCUCAAAAUUCAAAUUUUCUUCUCAACAUGGCUCUCAUUCUUCAAGAAUAUACUGUCAAAAAUCCAAUCUUUGUAUUUUUAACCUCCUUGACCGAUUUUUCUGACCAUUUGCUGAGCGCUUCUGCCUCCUGUUAUUUUUCUAACCUCCUUUGGCUAUUUAUUUUAUUUCAUUUAUUUGGGGACCCAAAAAUGGGUUACAACAAAAAUUUCAAACCAUCAUCAGGCUAUAAAAAGAAUCAAUUGAAAAACAAAUUUUGAAGACAAAAAUUAAAAAAAAAGGGACGGAAAAAAAAAGGAGGGUAGUUUUUUUAGUUAAAGCUGAUGGUUUCUAGCCAAAAAAAAAAAGAAGCAAUGGGGGUUGGGGUGCCACGUGUAAGGAGCCCAUUAUGUAGGUGGUGGGUGAAGUCAGCUAGAGCUAAGCAUCCAUUUUUUGUGGGGUUUUUCUGGUUAGAUUUGCCUGUUGGAGGAUCGUAGCAUGGGAUUAUAUUUGGUUGUAAAGGAAAGUGUCAAUUUAGGAGCCACCAACCAUCGACAAGUUAGUGAAAAUGGUGUCAAGUGCCGCACCCACCACCUCCUUCGAUCAAUCACCUCAUCAUCCAUGUAAUUAACCCUUUUUUGUUCUAUCACUUUUACGUUACUAAACACUUCCACUUCUAUUAGACGUGUGGAAUGAUUCGAUUUCUAGUUUUUUUAUUUGUGAAUCAAAUUAAGACUUGAAGCUAGUAGAUGGAUGUGUCUAAUCAACUUUUUUGGAUCCAAUUUCAUGAAAACUUUUAUCUCAAAACAUCAUAGAAAUAAGUUGUAUGUCUUAAAGGAUAUCUAAUAAAAUCUUAAAAGUUGGGAGUUAAAGAUAUAAUUUAUAUUAUAUUUUAAUAUAUUUUUUAAUUAAAAAUUAUUUCAGUUUAAAUUAAAUUUACAAAAGAUUAUACUAUUUUAUACAUAAAAAAUUAUCAAUCACCUCAUCAUCCAUUUUUUUGAUCUAUCACUUUUACGUUACUAAACACUUCCACUUCUAUUAGACGUGUGGAAUGAUUCGAUUUCUAGUUUUUUUAUUUGAGAAUCAAAUUAAUACUUGAAGCUAGUAGAUGGAUGUGUCUAAUCAACUUCCUUUGAUUCAAUUUCAUGAAAUGUUUUAUCAUAAAACAUCAAUAAAAAUGUGUUGUAUAUCUUGAACCGAUAUCUAAUAAAAUCUUAAAAGUUGGGAGUGAAAGAUAUAAUUUAUUUUAUUUUUUUAAUUAAAAAUUAUUUCAGUUUAAAACUUAAAGGAUUAUACUAUCUUAUACAUAAAAAAGUAAUUCAUAACUAUUUGGUUAUCAUGUAAAAAAAAUAUUUUAAAUUAAAAAAUUUAAACUUUUAAAAUUAUAUAAAUUCUUGCUCUCUUUUGAAUAACCUUUCGUACUGUGGUGUUUCAUGGGUAAAUAAAACAUGAUAAAAUAUAAUAAGAAAGAAUUUUGCUAGGAAAAAUACAAAAAUGAGAUACCAAAUCUAUUUAUUUAAUUGAACAAAACUAUUUUUCUAUCAAUCUCACAUGUAUAUCAAACAAUGAAGGAUAAAUUAGAAAGUGGACUUGUCACUAAUUAAAUGUAUAUAUUAUGAUUUUUAUUUUCUAAGAUGAUAUAUUAUGAUUUUUUUUAUUAUUAAUGUAAGUGUUCGGACUAGUUUGUGUGUACCUCAACUAAUCUCACGGGUUUUGAAGUUAAUGAUCAUGUAAAUCUUCAAUGAUCCUGAGAUUUGUAAGACUCGAACUGGUGAUAUCUAGAGAACAAAUUUAAAAUAUGAUGAAUUAAGUUUCACUUCUCAUGAUUAAUAUAUUUAGAGUUUUGAAUACUUAAAAGGAGGUGUUGUUUUUAUUUUUAUUUUCAAAUCUAAGAACCUCAAAAACUUUUAGGAAUCUCAAAAAAACUCAUUUUUUUAACCCCAAAACAUUUAAUUAGCCUAAAUAAUGAAAAUCAAUCUGAAUAAAAAAAAUAUUGGUCUAAUAUAUUUUUUCUAGCAUGGUUAAAAGGCAAAAUCAUUUUUAUUGAACUUCUUUUUUCAAAACAAAUCCAUUGAUGUUAAAAUUAGGUUUUUUAUGAUCGGAAUAUGAUUAGCUUUACCACAUUCUCCCCCUCUCAACAUUCAAUAACUAAAAAUAUGAUAAAAAUGAAGUUUUAAGAUGGAGUCGUAAAAAUUUUAAACAACAUGAUUAAAUAAAUCUGAAAAACAAAAAAUUCAAGGACCAUAUUAAACUUUUCUACAACUUUGGAAAAAGAUUGCAUUAUAGGAGAAUAGUUUAAUGCACAAUAACUUGAGUCUUGCUGCACAAUAAAAUUUAUUAUGGUAAGAAUAACAAAUGUUUUAAUUUAGAUUAUAACACGAAGCAUACACAAUUAAGAUUACAACAAGGAGAUUUCAAGAAGUAGUUAAACUUAGGUUAUAACCUAAGUUUUAAUAUAUUUUUUACAUUUGAUUUUAAUUUUAAUUUUUUUUAAGUAAGUUAAAAUAGCUUUUGAUUUAAAUUUUUUUUUUGUUAUAAAUUGGAUUCAAACCUUUGAUUUAAUAAAAAACAAGAAAAUUUUACUUUAGUUUGUGGAUUUUAUACUGAAUUCCUUAUUAAAAAGUUAUUUUGAAUCAUUUUUACAAAUAAUGCUUAUAACUUACGGUUAUUUUAAUUUAUUUUUUUCAUAAAUUAUUUAUAAAAAACAACUUUUAAAUUACAAUUCAAAGUAAAAUAUCAUAAUUAGUUAUGAAUUGGAUUCGAUGAAAGGAAGAUGGGAAGAGGGGAAAUGGGUAACGGGAAAUUAAAGAGAGAUGAUGAUCUGCGCAUGGCUACCUGUACCAGAACAGAUGGAAAAAACUCGAAACAACUCGGCUAGAAUUUAGGCAAGAAAUUCAGAAUGAGUCAACAUUUUAAGUGAGAUGAAAUUUGUCUCACUUUCUUCUAUUAAACCGAGGAGCAUUUAGAGGAUAGAAUAUUAGAGUCUCUAGCAAAAGUCAGCAAGGUAUAUUUAGAGCCAAAUUCGGGUAACAAAUUAUCAUAACCAACUGAUCCAUUUCGGCUCGGAGGCUUCAGUUUUGUACCGGUCAUCAACUGGUGCUCUUUGCUUUGCAGCCUUCGAGGAAGAAGUAAAAGCCUCCAAAAAUAUCAUCAUCAUUAUUAACAGAUGAACUAGACCCGUUUAACCCACCAAAAUAUAUCAUCAUUAAAAGAUGAUUUCGCACUCGUAUUUUUAGUACUGGAAAACACAAAAUCAUAACCGAAAUCAAACCCAGUGCUAUUUUGUUUUUAAUUCUUUUGAAAAACAUCAAAAAUGUCAAAAUCAUCAUCAAAAUUCUAUAAUUUCAUCAUUAAAAGAUGAUUUCGCACUCGUAUUUUUAGUACUGGAAAACACAAAAUCAUAACCGAAAUCAAACCCAGUGCUAUUUUGUUUUUAAUUCUUUUGAAAAACAUCAAAAAUGUCAAAAUCAUCAUCAAAAUUCUAUAAUUUUGAAUUGCUAAAGAGAGUUUCGUGAUAAUCCAUGAAUGACCUAUCAAAAGAAUUGGAAUUGUAGGUUAAUUUAGAAGAAUAUGAGGAGGGUUUCCGGUUUGAUGAAGGGAAAUUCAAAUAACUAAACUGGCUAUAUGUUGAUGAAACAUGCAACAGAUUCCACCACCCAGCGGACAACAACAUUGAGAACAAAUCCGUGUGAGAAAUCAAUUUUAAUAGUCAUUUUAUUUUUUAAUUUGAGAGAAAUCACAAAUUCUUCACUGUUUAUUACUGAAAAAGAAGAGAGGGGGGAAGAAAUGAUGUCUUCAGAUGUUUCUGAAUUAUAGGAUGCUAGGGUAAUUUUUUUAUAUAUAAAUAUAUAAAUAGAAGAUUGUGUUAAAAAAUCAAAGGGAGCUUUUACAAGAAUACUAUUAUCUUUUUUCUUUUCUCAAAAUCAAUAAAAAGAAUUUCACUGAGAGAAAAAUAGUAUAUCAUCAAUCUAAUGACUGCAUUUAUCUUUACAAUCUUCCAAAGGAACAACUUUAUGUUAAGAAGAGGAGAAAUAUUAUAACAAAAUAAUUUUUAUGGAUUCAAACUAGUGUUAUAGACUCUUGUGAGUAAAAGUGUCAAUUCUCAUAAAAAAAAUUGCAAUUUGAUGACAUAAUGACUAAUACAGAGACACUAACAAACAAAUAAAAAUAAUAAUUUGUACAAAUACUCACCUAGCAAAGAGAGGAACGGAUAAAAGGUUCACCACGGUCAAUUUUUUUUCUUUUUCUUGGUUAAUUUUUUUUUUUGAAAAUGAUGAAUAAUGGGAAAAAAAGAAGAAGAAAAACUUGCAAAGAAGCACUUAUAAUGGAACAAGGUUAUGAUGACAAUCCCUGUAUCACACUCUCAAAUAAUAUAAUAUAUCCAUUAUAUUUUGCAUUAUAUAUAUAAACUAAAAGAGUUAGGCUUUUUGAUGGCAUCCAAGUGUAGUUGCUUUUUUCAUCCCGCUUUUUUUGUUUUAUUUUAUUUCAAUCAUUCAAUUUUGUUUCUGUUAUUUUAUCAUGCUUCGAGUUGUCUUUUUCAAUUUGAUUUGGUGCCAGCUUGGGAAUCACCAUUUUAAUUGUGGUUGUGAUUUCUAAUUGUUUGAUAGUAUUUCAAAAGCUGAUAUUAUAGCCUCUUCUAUAUGUUAUUUUCAGAAGUUACAAUUUAUAGCUUUUCAAAAGCCAUAAUUGCCUGUUUGUUUCUGCGUUUAAAAAACGUUUUUUAAAAAAAAAUUAAAUUUUUUUAAUUUUUUAUUAACUUUAAAUUAAUAUAUUUUUACUAUUUUUAAAUCAUUUUGAUGUGCUGAUGUCAAAAAUAAUUUUAAAAAAAUAAAAAAACAUCAUUGGCAUACAUUUUAGCACGAAAAGUUAUUUGAAAAACAACCGCAACCACAUUGUCAAAUUUCCAAAUAGAUUCUUGAUAGAGGGUUGUUUUGAUCUUGAGUGUUGUGCUUGCAAAGGAAUUACAAUUACUUUACACAUUAUAAUUAUAAAUUACUGUUUAAAACAAUUAAGAGAAAGGACCAAUAAUAUAGAGUGAGCAAAUGAAAGCAUAAAUUUAGAUUUUAUUGUGACAUAGAGAUUAGGUAAUCAUGAAAGUUGGUAAUAAUAUACUGUGAGCAAAGGAACCUGCUCGAAAAAACCAUUCAACAUGAGAUUGCUCUGCUAGGAAAACAUGAUAUCAGCAUCAAACUUUUGAACAAAUAGUGGAGCAUCAAGUCUCAGUCAUCUUGAAGUAUGUCGACAACAAGUCACAUAAGCAUAUGCAAUAGAAACAGAGCAUCAAACUGACAGAGAAAACAUACUGAUACCCUUAUUCACACAGAAAACAUACUGAUAGAUAAGUCGAAAUCUUCUAUGGUAAAUAAGACUGUUACAAUGUGAAGCCAAUUUGUAUCCCAUUGCCAAUGGAACAGUAGGAAUUACUUCCCACCAAUCAAAAACAUAUCUGCAGCACCACAGCUCAAAGACAUGAAUCUCCGUGAAAUCGCCUAUUGAGGAGUUGAUCGUGUAACAACCAACCAACCUUGCCUCAAGCAAACACGAAGAACAAAGACCAUCCAUGCAUAUUUAAUUCACCCAUUAAAAGUUGAAGGAUAAGGAGAGAAGAUAAAUAAUCAUAGCCAUGUUACCUAGUCAGGGCAAGGAUGAAUUAUUAGCAUGUUUCUCAAAUCCCAAUCCCAAACUAAUCAUUUCUCUUCAUUUUGUUGUGCUCAGCGAAGGAACUACCAAAUCUUACUGAAAGUAUUUAAGUGAAGACAACAAAUAGAUGUGUACUGUUUUAUUUGAACUGAAAAGAAUUGAUUGCUUACAGAUCAUUGCAAUCCUUACAAAUAUAUAGUAAACCAAACAAACUGAAUUGCUAACUUAAAGCACCAAAUCAUGCAAAAUGCUACCAUCAUUACCUUCAAAUCUAUAGUUAAUUCCAUUUUUCUAUAAAAGACAAAACCAUCAGUAUCCAAUAGUUGCCGACUUCACCACGGGUUCAACAUUUUUUUGACAAGUUGGGAUUCGAUACUAAUGAGCAUAUUUUCUUAAGUUGAAAUAGUGCUACCCAAUCUAGGUUACAGUGGGUUGAUGAAUUAAAGAGCAGUUGUUAUUUGACACUGCAAUUAGAUGGCUCAUAUUUGAUUUACGGAGCUAUGAUAUGGGAAUCGUGCUUGUAUCACAUAUAAAAAUAUUUACAUAGUAACAAGCAUUAUUAAAGAUGGUACACUAGUAAGUUUCCAAAUGCUAUCAACAAAUAUUAUAACCUCUUAAUUUAUACAAGGAUUGAGCUAAAUUGCAUACAAGCAAUCCCUAACUUUGGUAGUUUCUUUGUGUUAAAAAUGGAGACUUCUUGGUGUUUGCCGGAACUCCAACUUGGGUAUACCUUUUGUGAACAAGAAACAAGGUAAAAACAUCUUUCAACGAUAUCAAAUCAUUUAUUCAUAUAAAGUAUUAGUGUUGUCAUUUAAUUUCACUACAUUGAAGAAAAUUCUGAUUUGAUACCAAUUCAUGCUUGGCACGACUGUUACAUGACACCUGGGAUGCUCAGCAACACUACAUCCACAAUCAUGACAACGAACACUGAUGCAGCCUCGAAAACAUCAAAACACUAUUUGCUUUGGUAGUAGUAUUGACUGCAAACUUGGUUGACCAACAGAAUCCCUGCCUUCAGCCAACCCCAAAUUUGACUAUCAUCGUAUAAUAUUGAUCGUCACAUUAUAUUUUCCAACUUUUAAUAGGAUUUUAAGGACAAGUUACAGUUGAAAGCUAAUAUAACAACCUUCUUAAAUUCACAUCCUACCGACCAUUAUGGCUAUUAGCUUCCAACCAUUCUCCAUGUUUCACUUUUCUUCAAGUAUUUUCACCAAAAUAAAGCUUCAACCUUUAAAGUUUUGCUUAUAAAGUCAAGAUCCAUGGGGAUUAUUUAAGAUUUUAUGGGAAGCAUUUCAAAUAUUUUAUGUUUUUUUUUUUUUUAAAUAUUGUUAUAGACAUAGAAUCAACAAGAUUGUGUGACAUUCUAUAUUGAUUUUGUGAUAUUUUAAUCACUAAAAGUAUGGUUUCAGAAAGAUAAAAACCAAACAAAAAAUUGAAAAAAUUAAAAAUUUUCAAACCAACAGAAUCCAACAUAUUGAUCAGUUUUGGUCUGAUUUGAUUCGGAUAUUUUUUAGCUGAAACAAUUAAUAACCAUUUUCAAAAGGUAAGUAUUGACAAGCCUUUCACGAAACCAUGUUCAUUUAUGCUGAAUCAAUCCAAAUCAGGUUCAGGUUGCUAACUCAAACUAACAUAAUCCAAAAUUGAAUGCACACAGACUCUGGGUUGUUUCAGUUUAAUGAUUUUUAGAAAUGUCAAACUGAAACCGAACCGAAAUAUAUGAAUAUUUCUAACUGAGACGCCCCCAAAUACUAAAAAAAUGAUUGGUUUUGUUUUGUUUAGUUUGGUUAUAGCAGAUACCCCUAACAAUCUGCUUUUUCACUCGACAUCAAACAACAAGCACUAAUAUUAUGUCUGUAAGUAAAUUACUAUAAAGUAUAAAAAUAUAUGUGGAUAAUUGAAAAUUUGCUUAGAGUUGCUAAUAAUUCACAACUGCAACAACCAACACGACCAGGUAAUGCUUGGGAAUGGGAUCAUGUAAUGCCCGGGAAUGGGCCUUGGUGCACAAUCAUGAUUGUAACCAUGAUUUAAAAUCAUUUCCACACUAGACUAUCCAAGACAAUUGGUAUUGGAUUGUUAGCAACAAUUCAGUUUAUAAUAAUAAUAAUAAUGUUGAUUCUUUUAUCUCCUACUUAAUGCAAGUGUCCAUCGUGUGCUGAAAUUGAUUGUUUACCUCAUAUUUCUUUUAAAGGUAGAGAUUUCUUGGUUGACAAUGGGAAAAAGUAAUCGCAUGGUUAUUUUCCAUAAGAUUCAUUUGAGUAAAUAUUCUCUAUUGGAGGUCAAUUUCAUCGAAGCAAUUACUUCAAGGAACACAUCCUAACUAUCAACCUCUAAGUAGUCAUCUCCCUUAUCCUAAUUUUUUAUUUCCUAAUAAAAUCUCACGGUUUUUCAUCAUGUUCAAAGGAAAAGUUGACGUUGCAAAUGGUGCUCUAAGGAACCAAGUCAUCCUAGAACUAAUCAUCCACCUAAUCUCAUCAACUCCUUGUUGCACAAACAGCUUGUCUCACUUAAAGGGGAUUUUAAUGAUGAACAAACACCAACUCCUUGUUGCUCAAAUACAUAUGCUCAUUUAAACACAAUUUUGCAUUACCUAGAACUGACAAGGCCUAAAAUCCCGGAAAUAGAAUUUUGUUUUAAAGGAACUUCAGGAUUUCUAUAUAGGAUGCUUGACCUCAUUAAAGACAAACUGACGACAUCCGUCCGUAACAUAAAUUAUCUUCCUUGCCCCAAAGUCAGCACAUAAAAACCUUGUUCACUAUAAAGGCUCUGAAUGUUUUUCCUAAAUUUCAUGAUAUGGCAUUCAGCAUUCUUAAGCAAACUACAACUGCAUAAGGCUUGUACAUGUAGGGGAGACGUAGGAAGAACUGCAUGAAUUUGAUCUCAAAGGGGUACCACCUCAUAUGCCUACAGGAGAUACAUGACCAGUGAUGGUUGUUCUAUCCACAAAAUUAGCUAACAUACGACUAUUUUAUUCAACUACCAUUUCAGGAUAUGAGUUCUCCUAGCCACACUCAAAAGCCCUAGCCGCUAUAUGAACAAAGCACCUAAAAAAUUAAUCACCUACCUAAUCUAAUUCAGGAAAUUUUGGUCAAAAUCUCCUACAAUGAAACGAGUUAUUUGAAUGCAUAGACAGGAAAUUCAGGUAAACACACACACACCCCCCUGAUCAUAAAUUUCCUAAAGAAAUUCUGAAUUGUAACAUUGGUAAACAAAGUGUGACAAUAUCAUCACAUUAAAAAUGCAUUUCACUCAAAACAAAUACUAGCUCAAGAAAAAAAAUUGCAAGAAGCCAAUAGAGAAUAAAGUAAGCAGUCCAUAAACAAGAGACAGAGAGACAUUGUUCCAAUACAGAAAAGUAAUUAAAACCCAACAACUAAAACUGAGAAAGAAUCAAACCAGUGAGUAACUAAUCCUUUUAAAGCAUUCCAAGAAUGGCAACCAAAUGUAACAUAAUCAACCUGCAAAAACAAACACAAAAAGAAUUAGAAGAAGAAACCCCAUUAGUUAAUAAGUUAAAACAGCAGCAGCAGCAAAAAGACUCAAAUUUUAGUUAUUUGGACUUGAGAAAAAGCACUGAACCCUCUGUGAAAAUGCCAUGAAAGGGGUGCUAAGAAACCAGGAAAAUAAAAACUUUUAAAAGGGUGUUUUUACAAAGCAAGAAAGAAGCUAGGAAGCAAGCCAGCCUACCCUCACGAACUCUGUUUGUUAAUUGUUUUUUCUCCUUUGAAGUGAAAACAAAAAAAGAAAAAAAAAACGAAGAGCACCCGGAAAAUCUAGUCAGAAAUAUUUUAUGUUGUUGUCUUGGAGUGACGCAGAUACCGAGGAACAGUUGUGGGGCCACCAUUGGUGAGCAGUGAUACAGUGGCAAGUAUGUGAAAUAACGCAUAUUACAGUGCGCAAUGAUAGAGUGAGUCUGGGUGGACAAACUUUUGGUGGUACACGUGGUGCUUAAUGAUUUGACGGCUAUGGAGAGAAGUUACAUGAGGGAAAUAAGAUGGAAAAAGUGGCCUCUCUAGAUUUUGGAAAUGUUCUCUGAAGAAAGAAAGAAAAUAAUUUCAAAGGUGGACAAAAAUAGGGUAAUAUCAGAUUUGGAACAUAAUCUUGGUUGGUGAAGAAUAACAUAAUCUAAGGAGAAAUCUAGGGAAAGCCAGUGAGAUUUGAGCUUCGAUUUGGGACCAAUUUAUAGCUGGAUAAUACCAUCAUGGGUUAUCAGAUUCUGUGUGUGUGAGGCUGCCAUAUGUUUCUUUCUUCUAUGAUGGAUAAAAAACGCUAAGCAAUUAACCCACCUAGUAAAAAAGGUAUUAUGGUUAUGAUAAAAACUCUACAGCCUGUGAUUCUAUUUUUGAAGAUAUUCUUAUUAUAUUUAUAAUUAUAAGAAUCUUUAAAAAAGACACGGGUAAAAUAUUAUUCUCACAUCACUAUUCACUGGUGUUAUCGGCUUAAAUUGAUAGAUAAUUAAGUAAAUUUAUUGAGGAAAAGCAAAAUUUAAAUAUAGAUAAUCAAAGUGAAAACAAAAGCGCAAAAAAAGAUGGUAGUUUCAUGAUUGAAGUUAAAAAUUCACUUUGAUUCUUAUUUUUUUUUAAUCAAUAAAAAAUUCGGCAGAGUUUUCUCUAUAUUUUUAGGUAUCAAGUUAUCGACUUUUCAUCUACAAUCCCUAAUUAUCAAAUUUCUUACUCAUCCUAUCAUCCAGGACUUCCUCCUCUCAUUACAUCACAACUUCUAAAUAAUCAAAUUCACACAUGUCUAAACAAUUCAAUAUCCCACAUUUACAUGGAUACAAUCCAAAGAAUUGUUCUACAAAUUAUAACUGAAGUACAUUACACAAUUCAAAAAUUUACAAAUAAGGACCAUUAACGAAAUUAUAAUCGAAAUAAGUACGUAAUUAAAGAAGAAAUUCAUAAUUAAGAUUAUACUACACAAAAGAGCUUUCGAUAAACUGUUGACGCAUUAUAUUACAUAACAAAAUGAUAAAUUCAUUCAUUACAAAAAAAAAAAUACCAAACAAAAUAUAAGAAAACUAAUCUACUGUUCAAUCCGAUAGGGGGAUGUACCUGAAAAUUAAUUUAAUACAAUAAUUCGAUUAGACAGAUGAAGAAAAGAUAUCCAUAAAAUUCUUUUUACUUUCUUUCUUUCUUCCUUUUUUUUUUUUUUGAAAAUUUAGUCAAAAGAUCAUUAAAUUAACUUGCUCAUAUAGUAUUAUAUAUAUCAAUUAAAUUUCAGAAUAAUCUAUUAGUUUGUUUUCUUUUUCUUUUUUAACAUCAACCAAAAAAAUAAUUAUUCUCAUCGCCCAAUUAACCCGGCAUUACUUUCACUAAUAGAUGAUUAAUUUUCCACCAGUCCAUUCAACAAGCACUAUUGUCAUCAAUCCAAAAAUUAGUUUAACGUUUAAUCCAUUCAUCAGGGUACAAAUCCCAUUAACCAGGAAAAUUAAUUCUUCAUCUCGCCUAUUAAUUUGUCAGGGCACUAAUUCUAUUAAAUCAGGAAUUAGUUCAACAAUUUACCCAUUAACCAAGGACUUAAUUCCUCAUCACGCCCAUUCACUAGGACAUUAAUCCCAUUAGUUCAAGAAUUAAUUCAUCACAUCGCAUAUCUUAUUUUUUAAAAUAAACAAUAAAAUAAUUACUAAUUUAUCAACCAUAAUUAAUCAAAUAAAAAUACAUAUUAACCAAUAAUAAAUUCGGGCACCGUGUAAUUACCUAACGACUAAGCUCGAGCUGAAAUUCCCUGCUGUGGUGUCAGCCUGACAGCUUCUCUUGAAUUGACAAAUAUAUCACAUCAUUAUUCUACUUUCCAUAUUGAAACACUCAAUAAAUAAAAUCAUUCCAAUUAUCCUUUUAUUUAUCAAAAUAAAAUCAUUUUGUAAAUUUCCUUCCUAUUCUUCCAAUUUCCACAUUGUAACACAAUUCAUUUCAUCAUUCAAAUCAAUAUAUAUAUAUAUUCUUUAAAUUUAUUUAUUUAUUUUUUACCGUAAUUUAAAUCAAAGAAAAACAUAAAAACAUUUCAUGAUCUAUUCACUCUUUAACAUUAAUAUCAUCUCUUUCUUACACAAUCUCAUCAUCUUAUCAAAAUUCUUAAAUUUUUAUUUUUCUUAUUAUUAUUUUUCCAAAAAUCCCUUCUUCAAGAACACCUAAAAUUUUGCUUUAAUUACCAUAAUUUCUUACUUUCUCUACUCACUUCAAUAAUCUUAACACAAUUUCACAAUCAAUUGUAAUUUUUCAUAAAAUUUAUCAUGAACCCUAAUUCUUCAAUUCACAAAGUUCAAUCAAUUUAAAACAUAAAUUCUUCAAGAAUCUUAUUUAAAAGUGUAAGGGCACCUUACCAAGCAAUAACCAAAGCCUUAACACUUUUAAAUUAAGAAAUUUUCCUUGCUUGAAUUUGUUUUUCCUCUCCUAGCCGAAUGCUUCCUUCUCUUUGAAAAAGCAAGUUUGUUCUUUUUUUUUUUGGCUUCCUUACAACACACACUCACUUGCACUCAUAUAUAUCAAUUUUUUCUCCCCCCCCCCUCCCCUUCCCCCCCACACUUACACACAUAUAAUUACUUAACUUUUAAAAAAUGCCUUUUAUAUCCCUCAAUACUAAAUUUUAUGAUUUUUGGGUAAAAUUUCAUGAAUCCUGACUCCUGUUUAUACCAAAUUUUACACGGGUUAUUUCAAAUUUCACUCAAUUACUCGUUAGUACUUUCAGUUUCAUGAAAUUCACUUUCAUAAAAAUUCUAUUCAUAUUUUUGUGUUUUUUUAUUUAUUUUUAUAUAUAUAUUACUAUUUAUCUGGUAUCAGAGCCUAUUGGGAUCUGGGUGGGAAUAGUAACAUAAAAGCCAGUAUUCUUAGAAAGAACAAGAGACCAUUAGACUAUAGGUAUGCAACUGAAUGGUGUAAGUCCCGUUUGAGUUUUAGGGCAAUAAAUCCAUAUAACUUGCAGCGUGUUCCCUAGUUUAUCUUUCCUUUCUAUGGAUUCCGUCUUUCACAGGACUACUUCUCUUUCAGCUUCCUCUACCUCUGAAUCUUCUGAAAGCAGAAGAAUAGUACAAAGUGAAGAGAUAACUAUUGAAGACUUUACAAAAAACAUUGAUGACUGGAAAAUUCCAAAAAUUUCUCAAACUCAGAUUUAUCAAAAAUCUAAAUAUGAUAUUUUCAAAACAGAUUUUACUAUCAAAACUGAAGAGCGAGAUAUUCAGCUUACCAAACCUUUUGAAACCAUUCAACUCCUCUCUCAAAAAUCCUUACAAAAACAUCUAGCCCGAAACUAUAAAUAUAUUCAUGUUGGCCUUGUCCAGAUUGGAAUAAAACCCCUUACAAAAGAAGGCUUAAACACCUCUAUUCUAGCUGUCCUCCGUAAUGCUAGAUUUCAAAACUUCCAAGACUCCCUCCUCAGUUCUAUUGAGUCUAGUCUUUGCAGUGGGCCGAUAUCAUUUGACUGUUAUCCAAACAUAACCAUACCCCUCAAAGACAAAAAUAUCUUGCAGAGUAUGCUACUACAAAUAAAGACCCACAACUAUGACAUGCUAAAAGGAUCUAUCCCUGUUGCUCUCAUAUUCAAAAUCCAUUACAAAGCCAUGUUCUCAGCCUUUGCCAGCAAAGACAAAUUCCAAUCUCAAAAAGGUGAAACACUCCUACUACAAACAGAUUUAUCCCGCUCAAACACUGUUGUCCCAAAAGCAAUCCAAUGGAAAGACAUAUCCCUACCAGAAGAUUGGAUCCUUGAAGGUGCAGCACCACCAGAACUACCACCACCACCUCAACCCAAUGUCCAAAUUAAAAAUAUUACCCAAUAUACAGAUGGAAAAGUGAAACUGUCUUUCCACCGACACUCUACAAGUUCCAGAUUCUCAGAAGCCUCUUCCUCUUCCAGUACAAUAGAUUUGGGAAGAAUUUCCAAAAUCCCUUCUGUUAUCAAUAUCCCUUAUCACGAAAACCUUCCAAGAAAAUCUACAUCCGAUAUCCCUUCUCCUAGUUUCCAAAAUGCAGACUAUACUACAAAUAUACCAAAACCUGUCUAUACAAACCUUGAGCAACCAUCUCCUCCAACUUCACCGACCUUUUCAGCUAUUACUGAAAAUAUCCAAAACGAGCUGAAUGUUUUGACUUCAGAGAAACAUUUCGUUCUUGACAAAACACUUUUCAAAAAGGAUUUCUAUUCGGCCUGUAACUCUACAAAACGAAUUUGGUUUUUUCAAAACUUUCUCGAGCAAAGAAGUGAAAUACAAAAACAAUUUUAUAAUUUCAUUGAGCUACAUAAAAUACAAAUUCUAUUCUUUGAUUGAUUCGAAUUAUAUUAUGCAUCUGAACAUCACAUUUCAUAUCCUUUUGCAUCAAUUAAGCAUGCAUGCCCGGUCACAUCCAGGUCAAAAACCCAUGUAUGGAACCUCACCAGUGGACCUACAGUUGAGUCUGAACAUCCACAUUUGAGAAAUAUCCAAAUAACCCAUAAUAACCAGACUGUCGAGGCAGCCCCUUACAAAAUAUCCACUGAUGACACCCUUUCCAAUACAAAACACAUCAUUAACCAAAACAACUUUACAAACACCAACCUUAAUACCUUGGGAAAACAGCUUACACGGCUUGAGAAACAAAUACAAAGAACUGCUACAAGUUCAGCUGGCAUUAAAACCUCAACCGACUUAAAGCUAAAAAACCCAGUCUUCAAACCCUACCAAAUUACAAAAACCAGCCAAACACAGAUCCAAGAAAACCAAACAGAUUUUCUUAAAGCUAUUAAAACGCAUCUACAACACCUUGACAGUUCAUCUUUAACUGUCCCUGACACACCACAAAUAACCAACCCUUCUACCUCUACAAAUCAAGUCAACACUUUACAGAAUAGUCCUCAGGAAUCUUCUGAUGAAGGUACUUCUCCACGAAAACCUCUUACCCUAAACAGACUUACCUGGCAAACUCCCAAAACAACCAUUGCCCCAGACAUUUCCAUAACUACUGAACCAACUAUUCUUACUCAACACAAGUAUAAUGCCUCUUCCCUCUAUGAAUGGAAUAUAGAUGGAAUGUCCGAAUAUAAUAUCCUAAACACUCUCCAACAAAUGACCAUGGCAGCGAAUGCUUACAAAACCCAGACAGGAACCCCAGAUAAAGCUAUUGCUGAGCUCCUUAUUAAUGGUUUCUCCGGCCAAUUAAAAGGAUGGUGGGAUUACCAUCUCACUGACACUGAUCACCUGCAUAUCCUAAACUCCUUCCAAACAUAUGAGGACCAAACACCCAUCCUUGACCCAUUCGGAAACACCAUCCAAGACGUUGUGUCAACCCUUAUUCUUACAAUUUCCCUACAUUUUGUUGGAGAUCCUUCACAUUUGAAAGACAAAAAUGUUGAACUCCUUUCCAACCUUAGAUGCAAGAAACUAAGUGACUUUCAAUGGUACAAAAACACCUUCCUUACCCGUGUCAUGCUUAGGGAAGAUUCAAACCAACCCUUUUGGAAAGAAAAAUUCCUUGCAGGACUACCUAUUCUCUUAGGAGAAAAGGUUAGAAACAAAAUCAAAGAUACCUUCACAACAAAAACCAUCCCAUAUGACCAGCUCACAUACGGUGAACUUGUAAGCAUUACUCAAAAGGAAGGUCUGAAGAUCUGUCAAGAUCUUAAACUCCAGAAGCACCUAAAGUGGGAAAUGAAACGUACCAGGCAAGAACUUGGUAGUUUCUGUCACCAGUUCGACCUUUCCACCAAAAAACCCUCCUGUAACGGAAACUGUUCACAUCCCAAAAAAUAUUCAAGCCAGAGACCUCCUUAUAAACGAUCACUACAUAAAAACCGACAACAAUUCUAUUCUAAACCAGAUCAACCUUACUACAAAAAGCCCUAUAAAUUUACCAAGCCCCACAAACCUUUCCAGUCGAAACCUAAAACAAAAUUUGAUCCCAAAAACAUUACCUGUUAUAAAUGCAACCAGAAAGGACAUACAUCCCGUUUCUGCAAGGUCAAUACUAAACUUCAUGAACUCCAAAUAGAUGAAGACACCAUCAACCAAAUACAAAAUCUCUACAUUGAGGCUACAGACACUGACCACUCUCCUUCAGACACUUCUGAAGAAGAAUUCCAAAUCGAUGAAAUAGCAACCACCAGUGCUACUUCAGAUGCCUCUACAAAUUCCAAACAAUUCAACGUCUUGACCCAAGAUCAAGAGUUCAUUCUUGAGGCUAUCAAACGACUUGAUGAUCCUCAACUUCAAAAAACCUAUUUGGAUAAAUUAUUGAAAGACUUCAGCCAACCGGAGCACCCCCAGUCUAACCGCUCUAUAUUAACUUCUGCCAGCACCAAUACCUAUGAUCUUACAAAAAUUCUUGGCAGAAAGAAAUCCAAAACCACAGUCACCAUUCCAGAACUACAGUCUGAGAUAAAAACCCUCAAAUCAGAAUUGCAAAUCCUCAAACAAGCCCAACAGAAAGACUCUGCCAUACUACAACAUCUUCUGUCCAAAAUUGAAAGCCCGUCUGAUACUGAGUCUGAUACAGAGGAUCAAACCAUUGAAUCUCAUGCAUUACCACAUACACUUACAAAUAUUGAGCAUAUUCCAGAUGAUUUCUUAAACGUUCUAACCCAAAUAUCUUCCAAGAAAUAUUUAAUUCGAAUUACUCUUGUUUUCUCAGAAGAUUUCAAGCUUGAUACUAUUGCCUUAUUUGACACAGGUGCAGAUUUGAACUGUAUCAAAGAAGGCGUGGUUCCAAAAAGAUUUUUACAAAAUACCUAUGAAAAACUCUCUGCUGCUAACAAUUCCAAAUUACACAUUGCAGGCAAAACCCAAGCCUCUGUUUUCAAUAACGACAUUUCUCUUAAAACAUUUUUUGUUGUUACAAAAGACAUCAAUCAUACCAUCAUUCUUGGCACUCCAUUUAUUGACAUGAUCACUCCAUAUCAAGCACGUCAUAACUGUAUUACUUCCAAAAUUAAUAACACCAAACUUGUUUUUUCAUUCUUAGAAAAAUCUAAGACUAGGAAUUUAAAUUUAAUUAAAGCAUGUUCCAUACAUACCUGUCAUAUCAAUGCACUAAUUCAUGGGAAACAAUUCCAUCUACAUGAUUUACAAAACCAUGUUUCUUUUUGUCGUAUCAACAAACAAUUACAAAGUUCUGAUUUACAAAAGAAAAUCAUUGAUUUCCAAAAUAAGAUUGAACAACAGAUAUGUUCAGACUUACCCAAUGCUUUUUGGAAGCGAAAACAACACAUCGUUGAUCUUCCUUAUGAAGAUACAUUUUCAGAAAAACUAAUCCCUACAAAAGCAAGACCUAUACAAAUGAAUGCUGACUUAGAACAGCAUUGCAGACUUGAAAUCCACGAUCUCGAGUCUAAAGGUCUUAUCCAAAAGUCUAGAUCACCCUGGUCGUGUGCGGCCUUUUAUGUCAAUACAAAUUCUGAAAUUGAAAGGGGCACACCAAGACUUGUGAUCAAUUACAAACCUCUCAAUUCUGCUUUAAAAUGGAUCAGGUAUCCAAUCCCAAACAAAAAAGAUUUAUUACAAAAAUUGCACUCCGCAUUCAUAUUUUCUAAGUUUGAUAUGAAAUCUGGAUUUUGGCAAAUCCAAAUUGAUCCCAAAGAUAGGUACAAAACUGCUUUUACAGUUCCUUUUGGCCAAUAUGAAUGGAAUGUCACUCAAAAAUACACCAUCCGAAUUUCAACGCAUCAUGAAUGACAUAUUCAAUGCACAUUCAAAAUUCUGCAUUGUUUACAUUGAUGACGUGCUCAUUUUUUCACAUUCCAUAGAACAACAUUUCAAGCAUCUACAUAUAUUUUUUCAUACUGCCAAACAAAAUGGUUUAGUUGUUUCUAAAACAAAAAUUUCUCUUUUUCAAACCCGUGUCCGUUUCCUCGGUCAUUACAUCUGCCAAGGUACCGUAAUACCAAUAGAGAGAUCUUUAAACUUUACAAAUAAAUUUCCUGACAAAAUCACUGAUAAAACCCAAUUGCAAAGAUUCUUAGGAAGUCUUAAUUAUGUCUUGGACUACUAUCCCAAUAUUAGUCGUCUAUCCAAACCCUUACAUGACAGGUUAAAAACCAACCCCAUUCCUUGGUCUGACCUCCAUACCAAUCUAGUCAAACAGAUUAAGAAACAGGUCCAAACUAUUCCUCUCCUCCAUUUAGCUAACCCUUUAGCCCCUAAGAUUGUUGAGACUAACGCCUCUGACCUAGGGUAUGGUGGAAUUCUUAAACAGUUACAAGAUAACAAAGAACAAAUAAUCCAGUACACAUCUGCCCACUGGAAUGACUGCCAGAAAAAUUACUCUACUAUUAAAAAGGAAAUCCUUUCAAUUGUUCUUUGUAUUACAAAAUUUCAAAGUGAUUUAUUAAACCAAAAAUUUCUCUUACAUGUUGACUGCAAAUCUGCAAAAGAAGUUCUCUAAAAAGAUGUCCAAAAUCUUGCUUCCAAACAAAUCUUUGCCAGAUGGCAAGCCAUUUUAAGUAUCUUUGAUUUUGAUAUUGUUUACAUUAAAGGAGAAUCAAAUUCCAUCCCUGAUUUCCUAACCCGAGAAUUCCUUCAAAACAGGUCUUGAUGCCUCCUAAAGCAAAAGCCAAGGACAAGGGAAAAGCCCCUCAAACACAGCCUACAAAACCAGAGAGCCCCAAGCCUUCUACAAAACUCAUGUCUUCCGCCAUCCUCGCUGCCAAGCCUAUCAAAUCUUGGUAUGAGGCAGUUAUUGAAGAUGAAGAAACUACAAAACCACCACAAGUACAAACAGACGCAGUUCAACAUUGGGUUGACACUAUAUCCAAAUCGCCAGAAUUACUCCUGGCAUUGCAAAAAGUAUCCCAACAAGCCUCCAGUGACUCCGUGUCUCAAACAGGUAGUAUUUCCAAAUCACUUUCAAAACCCCAAGGAGGCAUUUUAUCUUCAAAACCCCUCCUUUCCUUACAACAAACAAGUUUUCCAAAAACCAAAUCCAAAUAUAUUUUCAAAAAUGCUUUCCAAAACAUUUUAACUAUGGAAGAAGGAUUUUACCAUGAAAACCCUUCCAUUGCUGCUUCAAAAAUAUUCCCUCCAAAAUGGCACUAUAAACCUUGAAAUCUAGCUCAACCACAAUCCUAUUAUGCAACUAUCCUUGAAAUUACCGAUUCUAUCGAAUUCAAACACUUCAAAUUACAUUCUGAUCACACUGAACCAGCUUACUCUACAUGCAUUAUUCACAAAGUCAUCCACCCUAAAGAUUGGGGACAACCCCUGCAUCAACCUCUCUCCUUCCCAAUACAAUACCGCACAAGCCCCCAAGACUUCAAUACCUCCUACACAUAUUGGGAUUACCAACAGGCAUGGUUUAAUGCCUUCCUCAUACAAAAUCAAAAUCAUAGCCAUUCUUGGCUCUUCUACUUCCACAAUACCAUGAAUACUACAAAUCUCUCCCUCUGGUUCCUUCAAUGGUGGGACUUUUAUGGUUGUCAUGUUGAUUACCUUAAAGAACAUCCUUUAGUUGAAAAUGGUUAUCUACAUUUCAAAAACAAUUUCCAACCAGCUCCCUCUGAAAGAAAGUUUUCUUCCCUCCUUAUCUUCUAUACAAAAUUUUUUGUUCCGUGGGUAUGUUCAUGGUUCUUUGAUUAUAAUUUACAAAACGGACAUCCAGUACUUAUUCGCAAAUUCAAAAUCAAGUGGUGGGAUUCCUUUGCAGCUGAGUCCAAAAGUUCAAAAUUAGCUGUUACGGAAUGGUUACAAAAACAUCAAACAACUCCCAUCAUCGAUCCUCAUCCUCAAUCAAAGUUCUUAGCCAGAAAGGCCCAAACGGCAGCUCUCCUUGCCUCUGCUAGAACUGAGGAAGAAUACCUACAAAUAGUACAAGGAAUUAUGCAAAGCCAAGACCCAGAAACAGUCUUGUCCCAAUCCAGCUCAUCUGGCUCAACAUCUCCUGCCAUUUCCCUCGACAAUGAUAAUGAAGAUGACUGUUUUGGUAUCCUGCCAUCUAUCACGUGACGUUAAAAAAAAAUAAAAAAAAAAAGAGUAUUUCAGGUCUUUUUAAGGCUCAUCUGUUUAGAGCCCAUUUUGGUCUUUUUUAAUGCUCAUCUGUUUAGAGCCCAUUUUGGUCUUUUUUAAGGCUCAUCUGUUUAGAGCCCAUUUUGGUCUUUUUAAGGCUCAUCUGUUUAAGAGCCCAUUUCUUUUAGACUCAGAUGUUUUGAGUCGUUUUUCGGCCUAUCUGUUUUAAGGCCUUUUUCUACAAAAGUUACUAGUUACUACAAACCCACCAAUCAAGUGUCGGUGGCAAGACGACAACAAACGAAGCUCAACCAAAAACGUGGACAAUUUCCAUUUUGUCGCCAUCCAAUCAAGGCAGACAGCACCACAUGGGCUUCUAUAGGUUCUGCCAAAUGCCACAUAGGUUCACAUGGGUCCUGAAGAGCUUCUCCAACAGGACAAUUUGGCCUCUUCCAUGCCAACUCGCCUAUAAAAGGCCACUUCAAAACCCUUAGAGGGCGGACUAAUCUUUCCCCUAGAAAAAAUUUACUCUCCCCUAAAAAUUUGUAACCCAUUCUCCUCUGUAACCAAUAUCUCCUGUCUUAAUUUUGUUACAAAUUUAAGUAAGAUAAUCUUAUUUUUAUCUACGUUUUUGUUAUAUCUGUUGUUGUUCUUUUUGUUACUUUUAAGUAUGCUCUGUGUUUGAUCAAGGAUCCUGACAUUGUUGGUCUUGCCUUGAUCAUUCGCAUCAGAAAUCUGUUUAUAUUGUUCUUUUCUUUGUUCUUUUAUACAAUCAGUAUAUAGGCUGGAAACCUAUGACCCGAUCUUUUAAAGAUCAUUCUCAGGUAUAACAACGCCACGUACUGUUUACUAUUUAUCUGUUUACUAUUUAUCUGUUCCUGUUUACUAUUAUAUAUAUAUAUAUUAACACCCGAACAAAACACUUCAAUUCAGAUUCUCGAAUAUAUCAUCAUUCUUAUAAUUUAAUUUAUCACUUUCCCUCAUUUUUCGUAAUCUUAACUUUUAUUAAUAUCAAUAAUAUUACCCGAGGUUUUAUAGUCUCAGUUGACACUGAUUUUCACCAUAAAAAAUGGUCGAUUUUUGUUUUAAUGAGUUUCAUUUGAUGAAGAGAGUUUCAUUGAAUUUUUUUUUUCCCUUGAAAUUGCCAAAAAAUUUAUGGUUUUUGGGCUAUUUUAUUAGUUUAUUACAUCAUAAAGACCAUUUUUAGGUGUUUUGGUGUGAACUUUGCUUAAAUUUGCAUUUUCGGGUCAAAAACACCCUGCUUAAUUUUCUAGUCACCUCUCCAAUGGUCAAGAACAGGAAAGUCUCGGUAGGUGACAUGUCGCUUUUUUUUUCAAAAUUAUUUGGAGCAUUUUCAAAUAAAAAAAGGCCCAUAUGUACCAACCCUUUUUAAAAUGGGCUUGAUGUGUAGGCCUGACUUACUAGGCCCAAAAGCACUUGAUCUAUUUCUAUUUUUUAAAAAAUUUUGUUUUCUUAAUUGAUAUUUUUUUUUAUGUAUUUUUAAUGAAUUUUUGAAUUUAUAUUUAAAUUAAUACUUUUCUCUCUAAAUAUUUAGAUUGUUUAUUUAGUUUUUUUUUUAAAUAUAGGUUAUCUUUUACUUAUCUUUUAUGUAUUUAAUAUCUAGAAAAAAUUAUUUCAAUUCAUCUAUAUGGUUUUUUUAUAUUUUAUAUGAAUAAACUUUAUUUUCAUGGCGUGUUUAUAAAAAUAAGAAUUAUUUGUUCUUGGUAAGAAAAAGUGACCUUUAAGAUAAAAAAAAAAAAAGAAGAAGAAAAGGAGAAAAGUGUGUAUGAAGAGGAAAGUUAAGGUUAAGUAUCAUAUUUAUGUAUCUUUUACUUUUAUGAAAAUGAUUAUCAUUUUAUUUUAUAAUUUGAUUGGCAUUAAGAACUCUUUAUUAGUUUAUUAGUUCAUAUUUUUGUAAGAUUUGUUUUUUACAUUUCUCAAUUAAGAGAAUCGUAAUACAAUGAAAUGCACUUGAAACAUUGUCCUAUUUUUCUACUACAUUAAAAAUUAACUUAAGAUCCUAUAUGUGGCACGAUGCGUUAACAACUAUUUUUUGUAUUUAUAAACACUUAUGGUCCUUACUUUAUUUUUAUUAUAUGUAAACAUCAACUUUUUUAUUCACAAUUAUAAUUUUCUCUUGAUUUUUAAAAAUACAUUAACAACAUUUAUACAUUUUUCUUUUGCGUUCAAAACAUUAUCUGACUCGUAGCAAAAUGAAUUAAAUAAACAUGUCAACACUUUUUUUUUGUAUUUAUGAUUAGGAUUUGUUUUUGUUAAAAAUGCAAUUGAAAAGCAUACAAAUUUAUUUUUUUGCUAAAAACAAUUUUGUGAUCCAUAACAAAGUACGAGUUAAAUAACUACUAAUAUGGCUAUAGUAAGUCUUUUAGUAUAUAUGGAUGUAGGAAGCAAUGUGUUAUAUUAUUAGUUAGAUAUAACUUACCUAUUCAUUAUUAAAAAAACAUAAAAUAAAUAAAUAUAUUAAUAGAAACCUAAAAGAGAUCGGCUGAAAUAUAAUAUUUUUGUCCUUUUUUUAUUUUGUUUCACAUUUCUCAAUUAAGAGAAUCAUGAUAUAAUGAAAUGUAUUUGAAACACCGUCCCAUUUUUCUACUACAUUAAAAAUUAACUUCCUACAUGUGGCGCGUUGCGUUAACAAUUGUUUUUGUAUUUAUUAACAUAUAUGAUCUCAAGUUUAUUUUAUUAUAUGUAAAUAUUAACUUUUUUUAUUCACAAUUAUAUUUUUUCCUCUCGAUAUAAAAAAAAUACAUUAACAACACUUAUACAUCCAUUCUUUUGUGUUGGAAAAUAUUAUUUGACCCAUAGCGAAGCGAGUUAAAUAAACACGUCAAUAUCUUUUUUUGUAUUUGUGAUUAGGGUUUAUUUUUUUUUUGUUAAAAAAAUACAUUUGAAAAGCAUUUAUAUUUAUUUAUUUUGCUAAAAAACAUUUCUUACCUUUAGUAAAGUGUGAGUCAAAUAACUACUAAUAUGGCUAUAGUGAGUGUCUUUUUAUACAGUAUACUUGGAUGUAGGUAGCAAUGUAUUAUAUUAUUAGUUAGAUAUAACUUACCUAUUCAUUAUUAAAAAAAACAUAAAAUAAAUAAAUAUAUUAAUAGAAACCUAAAAGAGAUCGGCUGAAACAACAUAGUCUCCAAGAGGAAAUAUUGUGAAUUCACACAAUGUUUACUUUCUUUUUUUUUUGUCCUUUUUUUUAUUCAGUUAUCUUUGAUGAUGAAUUAAUAAAGAUUUGAGAUGGUUUAAUUUCACAAAAUUUUCUUUUAUUGUUUGUAAGAAAUUGAAAAUGAGAAGAUCAAAAUUAAAAUAAAUAAAAAACCAAAUUUUUUUUUAAAAAAAAUAUGGUGUCAACUUUGCUUUUUAUUUUUUGCUUUUAAUCAUCUAUUUUUUUUAUAUAAAAAAAUAAUCUUUCAAUAUUGUGUUAAUUAUUUAUUUAUAAAAAAUUAAUCUUUCAAUAUUGUGUUAAUUAGAAUUUGAAAUUGGUAAUUUUAUAUGAGCAUCUAGAACUAAAUAAAAAGCCGCACCAUUGGUUUGGUGCUCAACUUUACAAAUAAAAAAAAAAAUCGAUUGUAUUGUUUUAGAAAAAAUAAAAAGAUCAAAACUAAAACACGAAAAAAGAAAAGAAAAAAAGGAGGCCUUAAAAAAACAAAUUGUGUCAGCACCUCCAUGCAUUGUAAUUUUGAUAAAUCUUCUUUUUGGUAAUGAAACUUUUUUAUUCAAAACUUUUUGAUUCAAAACUUUAUUUUACUUGUAUUUUAAUUCUUGAGGAUGAGAAAGAAAAGAGAAAUUCAUCAAAAAAUUACUAAGAAAAGAGAAAAUUAGCGAAAGCCAGCAAGGUAUCUGCUCGAAAAAACAAAUGGGCAAGCAAACAUACGCCCUUACUUCUGGAGGCUUGUGCGAUAAUGGGCAAGCAUCAUUGUUUUUUUGGGGGCUUGUACGAUAAUGACUAAACACACAACAUUACAUUACUUCUAGCUUCUUCAGCAAACACAGAUAGAUAAGUCGAAAUCUUCUGUAUUCCCAUUGCCAAUGAAACAGUUGGAAUUACUUCCCACCAAUCUAAAACAUAUUCGCAGCACCAACCUUGAAAUCAUGUAACAGCUAACCAACCUUGCCUGAUGCAAACAUGAAGAACAAAGACAAUCCAUGAUUUAAUUCAACCAUUAAAAUUUGAAGGUAAAGGAGAGGAUAAAUAAUCUUCAGCUAUAUCACCUG